rnacentral:lncRNA from 1 species
UCCUCCAAGGUCAUGUCCAUCAUGAACUCCUUCAUCAACGACAUCUUCGAGAAGCUCGCCGGCGAGGCCGAAGCUCGCCCGCUACAACAAGAAGCCCACCAUCACCUCCUGGGAGAUCCAGACCCCCGCCCGCCUCGUCCUCCCCAACGAGCUCGCCAAGCAUGCCGUCUUCGAGGGCACCAAGGCCGUCACCACGUUCACCUCCUCGUAGAUUGCCAUGUUUGCAUUGCAGAACUGUAGCUGGCUGCUGUGUAUCUAAAACUAGUGUGCUCAUACCCAAGUACUCAAUUUUUCCUUCUUUGGCGAUGCAGGUGGUGAAGGGGCACACUUGCUCUCCUUGAUGAAAUCCAAAAGGAUCUCCUUCAGGUCUUUGAAUCUUGUGAAGCAAGCAUUGUAUCAUGAUAGCAUUAAUUUAACUUCACGCAUAAUAUCCUUGUUUUCUAGUCCCCAUGGAUUUUUCUUUCCUGCAUCACUUUCACUUGGAUUGGAGAUGUACAAUUGGAGGGUAUGUGCAAGCCAGACGUAUUCUUAACUCCAUAAUUGUGAACCAAAUUAUGAAAAGGGUUCCUUUGUAACCAAGGCGAGGGCUUCUUUGGGAUAGAGUCCUCUAAUGCCUUGAAACCUGAGUGAAUUAUCGCCAUCUUCAAGGUCCUGGAUGAGAUGGGGGCAAUGGAGAUGCUGGCCAGAGUCUCUCGGUCAAACUCCGGUGCUUGAGCUUUUACGGGGUUCCCCGAUUCUUCCUCCAAGGUAACAUCCUCCAUCAACUCCCUCUCAAUAUCCUCCUUCAACUUUUGAGCAUCAUCUUCAACUUCGUUGGAGGAGGAAGAAGACAUGAUGAACUUGACCUCGUUACCCUUGCAGAAAAUAGCUCAAAACGAAAAACAAGAGGAAAACUUGCGAUACAAAGGUCAGAUCGUCCUCAGGAUUUUAUAGGAUUUUUUUACUUUGCAGGGCAAGCAUACAAGAAGAAAACGGAGAGUCGAGAGGGUGGGGGGGAUAGCCCCCACAUGGACAGGCGACACGGCGGCGGGGGGGGGGGGGCAGGGUUCCAUGCUGGCCUCUCGGGCACCGCCUCGUCUGUUUAUUUUUCCCCAAAAUCAUUAAAUAUUCCAAAACUAACAAAAACAUUUUAUGGAAUUUUUGGAGUCGCUUUACUUACCGUAUCAUAUACCUAUUCCUUUUGGAGUCUUCCGAAAGGUUUCUUCUAUGUAUUCUUCCGGUGUAAUUACUUGAAUAACAUCGGAAUCAAUGUUAAUGGGAUUACCUGCAAUAUAAUGUUUAAGUCUUUGCCCAUUAACUAUCUUGGAUUUAUUUCCUUCAACAUUAUUUAUCAUUUUUUAGCCAUCAACGUUAUUUAACUUGAUAGCUCCAGAAUGGAAAACUUUUUCAAUGCCAUAUGGGCCUUCCCAUUUAGAAAUUGCGAGAAAUUUGAAAAUUAGUGAACCAUUUCAAUUUUGUGAACAUUAUUCAAAUAUGUGAUUUUUUUGAAUUAGUGAACAUUUCAUUUUUUUUCUGCUUUUUUAACCUGUGAACAUUUUUUCUAUCUGCGAACUAUUUUUUUGAAUUAUUGAACCUUUUCCAAAUAUGCCAACAUUUUUAAAUCCACAAACAUUUUUUGAAAUGGCAAUCAGUUUUCAUAUUCGUGAUUUUUUUGAAUUAACAAUUUUUUAAUACAUGAACUUUUUGAAUCCACGAACAAUUUUCAAAUAUACAGAAAUUUUUGAAUUUGUGAACAUAUUUUCAAUCUACAAUCUUUUCUAUUUUGCGUGAAUUGUUAAAUUUAUGAAUGUUUUUAUGUUCACAAACAUUUUUUGAAUUCAUGAUUUUUUUUAGUUUGCCUUUUCCCGAAUCCACCAAUAUGUUUUGAAUUCGCGAACAUUUUUAUGAUUUUUUUUCAUUUUUAAUAAAACCGGUAAAUCCAUGAGAGAAAACCAGGGAAAAGAAAAGAUAAACCGGUGAAAGAAGGUUAAAAAGGAAGAAUGAUCCCAAAUUACGAAAGGACCAAAAGAGUAAAAACCAAAGUGAAAAAACCAGAGAUUUUUUUUUUAGCGAGCGGUGCGAGGCUUGUGUGCUCGCUCGUGUGCGAGCGGCGCUCUACCUCGUGGCUGCCUGUAGCGAUACAUAGCGCUGCCCGUCAGAAAUCCAAAACGAUUCUCGCGGUCGCGCGCUCCGUAAUCAGCGCGCGGUUCCGGCCUUUCCGUUCCCGCCCGUGUCUUUUCGCCAGGAACAGCGAUCCGCGCCGAAACGCAUCCCGCCCGUCCACAGAAAACAGCGCCGAACGCAUCGCAAGGUUCCACGUCACCGAUCCGGGGCACCCACCCUUCCACCAAUCAGCGCGCACCUCCCCCUCUGUAUAAACCCAGCAGCACCGCUCCUCCUUUCCCCAAUAUCUCCGGGAGAUUGGACAAUUUGCCCCACUUUACUUGGGCAUUAGAUGAUUUGCCCCAGUUUACAUGGGAUUAGAUCAUUUGCCCCAUUUUUUAUUUUUCUUUUGAUGAUUUGCCCUUUUCAAUUACUGAAAUCAUUUUCGAAUUUCUAUCCCUUUUUUCCCAUGCGAAAAGACACAAUUGCCCCUGUGGCUAAUUUACAAUUCUUCUAUAAUCUUCUCUGCUUUUGGACUGGUCCUAGUUCCAUCGACGAGCUCACUAUUCUCGGGACCCCACUAUUCUCUAGUUCAACGCCUUUCCUCUGUUCUUCAUUCCCCAAUAAUCAUACCACAGGAAGUUAAUGGAGGAGGCCGACGACGGCACCUUGACCCCCAUCUUGGCAGCAGCGGCCCCGCGCAGCAGCUCCCGGUGCAGAUCGUCGGCCCGGUGCACGGUGGCUCCAGCUGCAGCUCCUCGGCCCGGCGAGGCGGCUCCCGCUGCAGCUCGGCAGCUCGGCGGCCCGGCGCGGCAGCUCCCACUNNNNNNNNNNNNNNNNNNNNNNNNNNNNNNNNNNNNNNNNNNNNNNNNNNNNNNNNNNNNNNNNNNNNNNNNNNNNNNNNNNNNNNNNNNNNNNNNNNNNNNNNNNNNNNNNNNNNNNNNNNNNNNNNNNNNNNNNNNNNNNNNNNNNNNNNNNNNNNNNNNNNNNNNNNNNNNNNNNNNNNNNNNNNNNNNNNNNNNNNNNNNNNNNNNNNNNNNNNNNNNNNNNNNNNNNNNNNNNNNNNNNNNNNNNNNNNNNNNNGGCCCGGCGCGGCGGCUCCCGCUACAGCUCCUCGGCCCUGGGAGGCGGCUCCCGUUGCAGCUCGGCGGUCCACCGCGGUGAAUCCCGCUGCAGCUCGGCGGACCGGCGGGUACCCGGGGCUCCCGCUGCAACUCGGAGCUGCAGAAGGUGCGCUCGUUGCUGGUAAAAACUAAGUUCUUCUAGUGAUUCAUGGAUUUACAAUUUUUUGUGUGUCUGAGCUCAUUGCGUUGCCGGUAAUAGCCAUGGUUGGACGACAGUGUUGAUAGUACUAAUUACCCUAGCAGCUGGUACUACUUCAAUCAUGGAGCUGGGUACAUUGUAUGAAAUACUUCGUUCAGUUAUCUCCUCCAGAUGCUUCAGACUCUAAUUGUAUCACACUGAAAAUAUAUGCUUCAUCUAUUGUUGGAUCUCCUUUAGUCACAGGUGAGAGAUCUAUAUAUAUGUUGUGCAUCCUGCCAUACGCACUUUGUUGGAAAUUGGCAGCAUAUAACAGCUUUAUAGAUAAAACAAAAUAGACCGACAACAUAUGUUCACUUAGCACAUGGAAUUGAGAGAAUAGAUCACACCGAAAUCACAAACUGAUGCCACAAAAAGGUUGCUCGGUUCAAAUGAAAUGAUAAAUUAAUCCGAGUUUACAUCAAGCAAAAAAUAUCUUUGAAAUUUGUCUGAAAUUGACAAAUUUCAACACAUCUCAGAAUUUAAAAUAGCAAUUCAAUGCACUAAGAUUAGAGCUUCUUCCUCUUUGGGGUCAACUUUUUCUUGCAUGUUGUAGAGCGUGAAGGGAAGUGAGAAGUAGGUGAUGCUACAGAAUCAAUAGUUGUCCCACAUGGCUGUGAUGCAUCGUCUCCAGCUAUGGCCAUAGCAAGCCUCCUGCAUGUUUACACACCAAUGUUAUAAAAGUAAGAUUUUUCUUUUGCAUGAAUCAAAUGUUCAUACGACAGAUAUAAUAGUUACCUCCUUGUGAUAGGCCCAGGGCUGUUAUGAAGGCUGGGAGGCAGUGUUAUUGUUGUUGUGCGUGUAGGUGUCGCAACAACAACUGGAGCGAGCUCAUGCGCAGACACGUCACUAGAAAGUUCAAUCACACCGGAUGUUACCAAUGGUAUAAUAUUUCUAAUUUGAUACUAAUAUAGACGAGAUACUAGUGCAUGGGUUACCUCUUUUUAGCUUCAUUUUGUUUGCAAGUUGCUUUCCUGUGCCCCAAUAUCCCACAUUCUUUGCACCUAUUUUUACUGCCAAAUCUCUUCUUUUCUUUUUCCUUCUCUUUCUCACCUCCUUCUUGGCUAUUUGUUUUGCCAUUAUCAUCUUUUUUCUUCCGUUUGCUGCCACCACCACCACCUUCUUCAAGGCAACUUUUGAUUCUCUGCUUCCUCCGUCUCCCAACAGAGCUCUUUAAAACCGGUGGCACCAUUUCAAAAUCUAUAUUAACAUGAGGCCAUUGAGACUUGUCUGUGAUUGGUUCAAUCUCUCCAGCAUAGGCAGCCCGGAACCUACUCACGGAGUAGUACUCAUGUACAUAUGGAUGAAAAUUUACAUCUGCCGUCUCUAUAAGGAAUGCAAGUGCAUGCUCACAGGGCUUUCCAGUGUGUUGCCAUUCUAGGCAAGUGCACUCACGGCUGCCUAUCUUCACAACAUGCCUAAGAUUAUUUUUGCUAGUGUCCUUCACCUCACAACUUUCUCCCGUUGAUCUUCCAACAACCAAAUGGUCAAGUUGCCUAGUUCUAUUAUUUAUUUGUUGAAUGAUGGCAGGCAAUAUCUCUCCCUGAAGCAUUUCCCCAAUCCUUCUCCUUCUAUAAACAAGUAUCAUAAUUUUCUCUCUUAUUGCAUCGGCUAGCUCAUCCAUGGGCAGCUCUUUUGUUCCUUUGAUCCAGCUAUUGAAGCACUCGGCUAGAUUAUUGUGAAUGUAAUCACAUUUUAUUUCUGUGUUGAAGUCGCAUCUCAUCCACUUUAAGUUAUGAUAGGUACACAAGUAGACACUCACUGCAGGUUCAGCUUCAAAUAUCUUGGCCAUAUGAUAGUUAAAUGUUUCCAGACGAUAAGCCUUGGCUGCUGGCCACAUGCGACCAAAAACAUCUCCAUGAAACUUUUUUUUGAAGUUUGCCAUUAGAUGCCUAAAGCACUCCCUUUGCUCAGCUUGAGGAAACACAAUUUUAACUGCAUUCUCUAACCCUUUGCAUGCAUCAGUACAAAUAGCUAGAGUUUGAAGAUGUCCUAUUGCCCUAUGCAGUUGUUGCAUAAACCAAAUCCAGUUAUCCUCGGUCUCCGUAGCAAAGAAACCAAAUGCUAAAGGAAACAUCCAAUUUUGUCCAUCUAGUGCUGUACAUGCUGCUAAUUGACCAUUCCACUUUCCAGUCAAAAAUGUGGAGUCUACACUGACAUAUGGUCUACAACCAGCCAAGAAGCCAUCAAUGCACGGCUUAAGUGCCAUAAAAAAUCUGCGAAAAUGCACUUCACCUCUUUCCCUCUUGACAUCAACCUCGACAAUGCUACCGGGAGAUCUUUUAUCAAUCUCAGCUUUGAAGUUCAAUAACGACUGAAAGCUUUUUCCCCAGGUCCCAUAUAAACUAUUCUUGGCCCUUUCUUUUCCCUUGUUAACAGUAUGAUACCCAAUAGUACAUUUGUACUCGGCUUGUAGAUUUUUUCGGAGCUCGCUGGCACCAAUGUUUGGUUCAGUUUGAAUAUACCCCAUUGCCUUUUCUGCCACCCAUGCUUGGUCUGCCAUGCUUGUUGUCACUGCAGCGGUUGAUGAACACUUAUGAGGCUUUACUAUCUUGUUAACCUGCAGAAAACACAAUACAAACCAUCAGUUGCAAGUAAUUUAUAAAAGAUAUUUUCAACAUAAAAAACUAUUCAUGUUAGAUAAGUUUGUACCCUGACUGUUUUUCCAUCUUCUAUUGUCCUAGCAGUUAUUCUCCAAGGACAUGCAUUUCCUUUACAGUGACCCAAAAAUCUAGUAGUGUCACUAUCCUUGAUCUUGAUGUCAAACUUGCCUCUAAUAGCAAAUGUUCUGAUGAGCAUCCUAAACUCGUUCAUUGAACGAAACAAAGAUCCUUCCUCUAUCACAGGAUGUUUCUUAUCAUACCAAAAGUGAUCCUCUUCAGGCAUAUGGUCAGGCACAGGAAGAGCCGCAUCAGCAAGUAAAUCCUCAUCAAUAUCAGCCACACAUGCAUCAACAUCUGCAAUGGAGGCUUUCAUGGCUGCUUCAGAUACAAUUUUCCGAUGCUCAGGUUCGUCAUUGAUGCCAAGCACCGAGCACAUGUUCUCUUCUGUUAUAGGAACAUCAAUUUCGUCAUCAUUCAUUGGUGCUAUCUCAAUCUGGGACCAAUCAACACUUCCUACCAUAGUUGAUACAUAUGAAUCAUUACUAGCCACCCGCCGAGACCUACUUGGAAAAUAAAUAAAGGUUUUUAGUUAUGAAGGGGACAUAAGGGCAUCAUCUAAUUAGUUACCAACUAUUAAAAGUAUGCUACAUGUAUGCAACUGCAGGAAGCUAAGGAUAAGGAAGUCUAUCAAAGUAUGCAAUCAGUAAAAAAAAGGUCGCUGACAUCCUGACUUCCAUUCUGUUAUGUUAGGAAACAAGUAAGAAAUGGUUUAACUUUUCAUUUUCCAGUAGAACUAAGAUCCUCCUAGAGGUAUUCAUCCACAUGGUUUAAAGAUUUGGAUAAUUUUAGAAGUUUAUACUCUUGAAUCCUGAUAAUCAUAUGUCCAUCAUUGUCUUGCAGUUGCAGGGGUUACUACAAGUGUAGCAGCGUUAGGGGCUGCCUAGCGAGGACGCAUGCCAAGAGGUUCUAACCCUGCUUGUGGCACUGUGUGUGUUUGGGGUGGGGUGGGAGGGAGGGGAAAUCAUAUACUGACCAAUCUGGAGUAGAUCGUGGUGAUCCAUGGAUGCAAGAGUCGCCUCCCUGUUCGGCAGUAGGUGGAAUCGUCUCAGCGGCCAUCUGUGUGAAGCUUCGCUGUCCGGGGGUCAUUGGAGUUGAUGGCUUCGUGGCCGGCGGUGGAUCCGCCUCUCCACUAGCCAUGAACCUGACGUCACAAGCAACAGAAUCAAUCUAUGAUUUGUGAGUAGCUGGUUCCGUUGGGUAGAGCCAUGUAAAGAAAGUAGAUACGAUUUGUUCCCUGUUAAUUAGUUGCUUCGGUUGGACGUGGCCUUGUAAAGAGAAAAGAUCUGUACAGUACCAAAUUGUAAAUUAGCCACAGGGGCAACGAUGUCUUUUCGCAUGGGGGAAAAAGGGAUAGAAAUUCGAAAAUGAUUUCAGUAAUUGAAAAGGGCAAAUCAUCAAAAGAAAAAUGAAAAGUGGGGCAAAUGAUCUAAUCCCAUGUAAACUGGGGCAAAUCAUCUAAUGCCCCUUGAUGGGUUGUGCGUGCUGGAAGAAGGUGGGGAAUUUGUUUGGAAGGAGAUAUUGGGGGAAUUUGUUUGGAAGGAGAUAUUGGGGGCAAGAAGAGCGUGGAGACAUACAAGAUCUACAUCUUCAAGGUGCUCAAGCAGGUCCACCCCGACAUCGGCAUCUCCUCCAAGGCCAUGUCCAUCAUGAACUCCUUCAUCAACGACAUCUUCGAGAAGCUCGCCGGCGAGGCCGCCAAGCUCGCCCGCUACAACAAGAAGCCCACCAUCACUUCCCGGGAGAUCCAGACCUCCGUCCGCCUCGUCCUCCCCGGCGAGCUCGCCAAGCACGCCGUCUCCGAGGGCACCAAGGCCGUCACCAAAUUCACCUCCUCUUAGAUUGCGCUGCCUGUAUCUGCAACUAGAAGUAGCGUUAGUGCUGGCUGGAAAUCGCUGAAUGAUUGCGAAUGCUUUGUUGGCUCGUUGGUUGUAAGAAGUGAAUUCAUGCUGCUUUUGGCAAACUAAGAUCUCGAAAGUAAUAUGAUCCAUUUCUGCUACCGCGUUACUAAUUUCUGCUGUGAUUUGAUUGUUAUUAGGUGGUUGCACCAAUCUGCCAUAAAAAUUUCCAGAUUGAUAACCUGCUAUCAUUAGAUUUUGUUUCUCAUUAGGUGCAGAACUAAGUAUAUUUGUGCCUUGUGCGUGCUACAAAAGGGAAUCUGAAGGCUUGGUUUAAUUGCAUUCUGUCACUGAGUAUCCUCAGCAUUGCUGCUGUGAUGGAUCAUUAAUGUUGCAAGGAAGAAUAAGAGCAAGGCAAUGGGUUGCUUGCUGUUUCUUGUUCUUGUUUUGGUAGUUGUUAACGUUGCUUAUCCAGCCGUACCAAUUAUUAUCAGUCAACUGGUCAGGCUGGAGCUGCCUGGUGUUACUCUGAACAUGUAAGUGUCAGACAAUUAGGCUUGCUGGAAGGCGGUCCUUGAACAGUUAGACGUAUUUUAUGCGCAUUUGGUGUUUCCAUGCGAGCAAUGGUCCUGUGGCUGUAGCUUCUGACCUGCUAGUACCAUGUACUCAACAGAAUGAGCUAUUAUGUAUAGUGUUGGAUUUGUGAUAUCUGCGGCGAUCUGAAUCUGGGCACCUGCGUGUUUUCUAAUAGCCCUGAUUAUUUUUUUUGUUAACGGCGGCAAUUUUUAUAGCUCUGUUUUUAUUUGAUAGCAACCUUGGUCAGCAUGUUUAUUUGAUAAUUUGACAAAUAUAUCUUUUCUUCGGUUUGUGUUGGCAAGUUAAGCAUGGACCAUUUAGACAAUUCAACAAUAUGACUGAUUCUCAUCUCCACGUCAAUGCUAGGAGGAGAAAAACUACAUUCAGAGGUUACGGAAUGGCAAUGGGUGGGUUACCUCCCAGGAGCAGAAGACUUGCGUGGUUAGUGAUCACUUCAGUGCCAUGAUGAACAAGUGCCCCAUGAUAGAAGUACAUCAAGGAAAUUAGGGUAAGUUCAUGGCGCAACAGAUAAACUUUACAGAUCAUCUCCAUCUCCCGUGGCAUUUUAAGAGCAAUACCACCAACACCAUCAACUGUGCAGCUUUGAAGGGAUUUGAAACACAUGUAGUUUAAAUUCACUGUCCAUCACAUGGGAUUGGAGCCAAUAAGUGUUGGUGCAUCAGCAGUUUAGCUCCCAUAACCAGUAUGCAGGUUUAGGGACAGAUCAUGUCAAUAUCGAAGUACUUAAUUCUUUCAGAAUCUAGCUUCGAAAAAGACCCCAGCAAACAAACAAACAAACCAUGGAGCCUCUAGGUAACCAAAUCUGCAGCCUGCCAAAACACGGAGCUUCUAGGUAAGCAAAUGUGCAGGGAGCUACAAGAUCCUGAUUGGUCGGAGCAGAGCGCUCCAUCCUUGUCCGGUUGGACAUGCCUUUUUUCUUCACCACAGGUACAUAACUUUCCUGAAAUCCCUACAGAAGUCCCUACAUAAUUAAAUAUCACUGAUGUAAGUUGUCACUCGGCACCUUAAACAUUUAGGUUGUAGUAAAGGACACACACGCUGAUAAACUAUUGUAGGGAAAGUGCAUAUAUCAAAUGCCUCUGCUACUCUGCACCUGCUUAUCAAGAACAAGAGCUCUCCUUAUAAAGGUCAAAAGAUUCAGUUACCAAAAUAAAAUAAAUAAAUGUUUUGUUUUCUACGGAUUUCAGGUAUCAAAUUAAGAUUUAUACCGGUUUAAACAUCCAAACAACAACUCCUCUCCUGUGGCCUUUAUGACUAGCUGAUACUUAUUGCAAAGAUAUUGCAAGUUCGGCAGUUGCUGUCCAUUUCUUGCUAGAAGCUGGUUCCUAUUCAAAAGUGGUGAUCUGGACUCUCAUUUUUAUGCAUCGUUGGUGAAUCUUGUCUAGCAAUGGUCUGCUGGCUGUAGUUGCUGACUUGGUGUGCCAGUAUCAUGGACCAGUAAUACUUGACUCUUGUUUGUAGAGUUUGGAUUUCAAAUGGAAUGUGAAAUGUCUGUACUUAACUGAAGGAAUUGAAACUUCUGUGACCUGCCACCGCAGUAUGUAUAGUUUUGAAUUUGGGAUAGCAGUAGCGAACUGAAUCUGUUCACCUAGCACUUCCGAAAUUCUGAACAACUAGCACACCUGUUAACCGUGGCAACUUUUGUAGCCAUCUUUGCGGCAAAAGAUAUCGAGCAUUUUUUUUACGAUAAUCGUGCUAAGAUCUCAUAUCCAUGAUCUCGAUUUAGCUUGGGAAGCAACAUAUGCACAGUAUUUUAGAGAAUUGAAUUUGAUUAUGCAUCUGCCUAUUAACACUUCUGCUUCGGUACACCCCCUUUAAACACAUCGAUGGUUGAGAUUAGCAUAUACUCCUUCGCCAUUAGGGGCGCGAUUGUCUUAAUAAAAAAAGCCGCGGCAUGCCAGGCCGAUGCCCGCCCCGCCGUGUGCGUACGAAUACGCGCCGAGCCGUUGGGAUGGCUGAGCCGCGGGGGCGACGCGGCUUACAUACGAGCCGAGCUGAGCCGCCGGGGUGACGUGUGGGCCCACUAUGUCAGCCCGAGGGCGAGUUUUUUUCUCUGCGGGUGUGCUUUUUUAAAAAAGUGCGUUGACCGGUGUGGACGUGCGUGUGGACGCGGCGCGGACGCCCGUGUGAUCGUGCAUUAACGGCCCUGCCAUGCAUGGCUGCAGUAACUGCGGCAUGCAUGCAGGCGCCGCGAGCGACCGCCCGCCGGCCUCGGCUGCCGCGUUUGACGCGACCGCCCUCUGCCGCCGCGCCUUCCGCCUCGGGCCGCCCGUGUUCCUCCUCGUGCCGUGUGCCACCGAUGCAUCUUCUGCCUCGACCGCCUGCCUGACGCCGCCGACUUCUUGGGNNNNNNNNNNNNNNNNNNNNNNNNNNNNNNNNNNNNNNNNNNNNNNNNNNNNNNNNNNNNNNNNNNNNNNNNNNNNNNNNNNNNNNNNNNNNNNNNNNNNNNNNNNNNNNNNNNNNNNNNNNNNNNNNNNNNNNNNNNNNNNNNNNNNNNNNNNNNNNNNNNNNNNNNNNNNNNNNNNNNNNNNNNNNNNNNNNNNNNNNNNNNNNNNNNNNNNNNNNNNNNNNNNNNNNNNNNNNNNNNNNNNNNNNNNNNNNNNNNNNNNNNNNNNNNNNNNNNNNNNNNNNNNNNNNNNNNNNNNNNNNNNNNNNNNNNNNNNNNNNNNNNNNNNNNNNNNNNNNNNNNNNNNNNNNNNNNNNNNNNNNNNNNNNNNNNNNNNNNNNNNNNNNNNNNNNNNNNNNNNNNNNNNNNNNNNNNNNNNNNNNNNNNNNNNNNNNNNNNNNNNNNNNNNNNNNNNNNNNNNNNNNNNNNNNNNNNNNNNNNNNNNNNNNNNNNNNNNNNNNNNNNNNNNNNNNNNNNNNNNNNNNNGCGCGCCACCGACGCCUCGCCUGCCGCCCACCGCCCGCAUUAAUGCGGCCGCGCCCCAGCCCCGUUCCCCGCCGGCUAUAUAACCCCCCCGCCUCGGCCUUCUCCACUCCACCGUCCCCCUCUCCCGCCCUCCUCCUCUCCACCCCAACCAUGCCAUGUCGUCGAGCGACUCCUCCGACGAGGGCGCGGCGCCGGGCGGCGUCUGGCCGUCGAGCCUGUCCCUCGGCCAGACACAGGAUCUGGCCCGGUUCAGGCUGCUCGUGCCACCGGCUUCCAAGGUGCCCGACCCGUGGAGGAUCGGGGCCGACGACAUCCCCGCCCUCGGCCCGUCGGCGACAAGGGAGGAGCUCCGUGCGUUCCCCGCCGGCUGCUUCAACAGGAGGGCCCGCCACGGCUUUUGGCGCGGCAAGAACUUCGACACGGUGGUCGGGGCGUUCAGACACGCCGCGGCCGGUCUACCUGUCGGGGACAUCACCAGCGAGGACGGUUCUUCCCGCCGCCAUCGUCCCACCAUCGGAGGAGCCAGCCCGUCCCGCCGCUGUGAUGCCUUCCCUGCCCCCGCCCCGCCUGCCCCAGCCCCGGUAUAGGUGCUACAAUGUGGCAUGCAUGAAAUAACACCCAGUUUUGCCAGCGAGUGGGCAUGCCCAAUGUAGGCCCCCAGGCAAGACUGGAAUGAAUUCAGACACUAAACGCUUGUUGUUUCACGACCGGUCACUGUUUUAGGGGUUUUUCGUCGAGAAAACCCUAGGAAAUUUGUACGGUGUCGAAAAAUGAUACAAACUUGCACGCAUCAUGCCCCUCGUGAUGCAGGUGUGUGGAAAAAGUUUGGGGUCAUCUGGCGGAGUCAGAAAAAAAAACACUUCGGACUUGCCCUCCUUCAUAUCCGAUCAGUGCUGGUUGUACAGGUGCUACAAGGUGGCAUGCAUGAAAUGACACCCAAUUUUGCCAGCGAGUAGGCAUGCCCAACGUGGCCCCCCAGGAAAGACUGGAACAAAUUCGAACACCAAACACACGUUGUGUCAUGCUACUUCUUGAGCUUGCAUUGAUUUUUCCCUUGAAAAGGAAAGGGUGAUGCAGCAAAGUAGAGAUAAGUAUUUCUGAAAGCACAAGUGCUCCCUGGGUGGUUUUGGUAAUUAAUGUCAACAUAUCUCUUGUUGGACUAAUGCCUUAUCUAGAAUAUUUCAGAUAAGUUCAACAGAUGGAGUGGCGUGGACAAGAGGAUGUGGAACCCCUUCAAGGUGCUAAGCACAAAGGAUUGACUCAAGCUCAAAAGCUCAAGACUCUACAUUUUACUUUUAGUGAUCCAAGAUCACAUUGAGUCCAUAGGAAAGCCAAUACUAUUAAAAGGGGAUGAGGUGUUGCUUAAUGGCUUGCUUGCUCAAAGUGCUUAGUGAUAUGCUCCAAAAACCCUCAACCACUUUCUCAUAUCCACAAAUUGAAGGAAAUAUGCCCUAGAGGCAAUAAUAAAGUUAUUAUUUAUUUCCUUAUUUCAUGAUAAAUGUUUAUUAUUCAUGCUAGAAUUGUAUUAACCGGAAACAUAAUACAUGUGUGAAUACAUAGACAAACAAAGUGUCACUAGUAUGCCUCUACUUGACUAGCUCGUUAAUUAAAGAUGGUUAUGUUUUCUAACCAUAGACAUGAGUUGUCAUUUGAUUAACGAGAUCACUUCAUAAGGAGAAUGAUGUGAUUGACUUGACCCAUUCCGUUAGCUUAGCACUUGAUCGUUUAGUAUGUUGCUACUGCUUUCUUCAUGACUUAUACAUGUUCCUAUGACUAUGAGAUUAUGCAACUCCCGUUUAUCGGAGGAACACUUUGUGUGCUACCAAACGUCACAACGUAACUGGGUGAUUAUAAUGGUGCUCUACAGGUGUCUCCAAAGGUACUUGUUGAGUUGGCGUAUUUCGAGAUUAGGAUUUGUCACUCCGAUUGUCGGAGAGGUAUCUCUGGGCCCACUCGGUAAUGCACAUCACUAUAAGCCUUGCAAGCAGUGUAACUAAUGAUUUAGUUGCGGGAUGAUACAUUACGGAAGGAGUAAAGAGACUUGCCGGUAACGAGAUUCAACUAGGUAUUGAGAUACGGACGAUCGAAUCUCGGGCAAGUAACAUACCGAUGACAAAGGGAAUUAUGUUGUUAUGCGGUUUGACCGAUAAAGAUCUUCGUAGAAUAUGUGGGAGCCAAUAUGAGCAUCCAAGUUCCGCUAUUGGUUAUUGACCGGAGACGUGUCUCGGUCAUGUCUACAUAGUUCUCGAACCCGUAGGGUCCGCACGCUUAAAGUUCGGUGACGAUCGAUAUUAUGAGUUUUUGUGUUUUGAUGUACUGAAGGUAGUUCGGAGUCCCGGAUAUGAUCACGGACAUGACGAGGAGUCUCGAAAUGGUCGAGACGUAAAGAUCGAUAUAUUGGACGACUAUGUUCGGACACCGGAAAUGUUUCGGGAGGUGUCGGACAUUUACCGGAGUACCGGGGGGUUACCGGAACCCCCCGGGGAGUAUAUUGGGCCUAAUGGGCCUUAGUGGGAGAAGAGGAGGGGCGGCCAGGGCAGCCGCGCGCCCCCUCCCCCUCUAGUCCGAAUUGGACAAGGAGGGGGGGGGGGCGCCCCCCUUUUUCCUUCUCCUCCUCUCUCCCUUCUUUCCCUUCUCCUACUCCAACAAGGAAAAGGAGGAGUCCUACUCCCGAUGGGAGUAGGACUCCCCUCUUGGCGCGCCCUCCUUUGCCGGCCGCCUCUCCCCCCUUGCUCCUUUAUAUAUGGGGGCAGGGGGCACCUCUAGACACACAAGUUGAUCUGUUGAUCUCUCCCAGCCGUGUGCGGUGCCCCCUCCACCAUAUUCCACCUCGGUCAUAUCGUAGCAGUGCUUAGGGGAAGCCCUGCGUCGGUAGCAACAUCAUCACCGUCAUCACGUUGUCGUGCGGACGAAACUCUCCCGUGAAGCUCUGCUGGAUCGGAGUUCGCGGGACGUCAUCGAGCUGAACGUGUGCUAAACUCGGAGGUGCCAUACGUUCGGUACUUGGAUCGGUCGGAUCGUGAAGACGUACAACUACAUCAACUGCGUUGUGCUAACGCUUCCGCUUUCGGUCUACGAGGGUACAUGGACACACUCUCCCCUCUCGUUGCUAUGCAUCACCAUGAUCCUGCGUGUGCGUAGGAUUUUUUUUUGAAAUUACUAUGUUCCCCAACAGUGGCAUCCGAGCCUGGUUUUAUGCGUAGAUGUUAUAUGCACGAGUAGAACACAAGUGAGUUGUGGGCGAUACAAGUCAUACUGCUUACUAGCAUGUCAUACUUUGGUUCGGCGGUAUUGUUGGAUGAAGCGGCCCGGACCGACAUUACGCGUACGCUUACGCGAGACUGGUUCUACCGACGUGCUUUGCACACAGGUGGCUGGCGAGUGUCAGUUUCUCCAACUUUAGUUGAACCGAGUGUGACUACGCCCAGUCCUUGAGAAGGUUAAAACAACACUAACUUGACGAACUAUCGUUGUGGUUUUGAUGCGUAGGUAAGAACGGUUCUUGCUCAGCCCGUAGCAGCCACGUAAAACUUGCAACAACGAAGUAGAGGACGUCUAACUUGUUUUUGCAGGGCAUGUUGUGAUGUGAUAUGGUCAAGACAUGAUGCUAUAUUUUAUUGUAUGAGAUGAUCAUGUUUUGUAACUGAGUUAUCGGCAACUGGCAGGAGCCAUAUGGUUGUCGCUUUAUUGUAUGCAAUGCAAUCGCCCUGUAAUGCUUUACUUUAUCACUAAGCGGUAGCGAUAGUCGUAGAAGCAAUAGUUGGCGAGACGACAACGAUGCUACGAUGGAGAUCAAGGUGUCGCGCCGGUGACGAUGGUGAUCACGACAGUGCUUCGGAGAUGGAGAUCACAAGCACAAGAUGAUGAUGGCCAUAUCAUAUCACUUAUAUUGAUUGCAUGUGCUGUUUAUCUUUUGUGCAUCUUAUUUUGCUUAGAUCGACGGUAGCAUUAUGAGAUGAUCUCUCACUAAAUUUCAAGGUAUAAGUGUUCUCCCUGAGUAUGCACCGUUGCGAAAGUUCUUCGUGCUGAGACACCACGUGAUGAUCGGGUGUGAUAAGCUCUACGUUCAAAUACAACGGGUGCAAGACAGUUUUGCACACGCGGAAUACUCAGGUUAAACUUGACGAGCCUAGCAUAUGCAGAUAUGGCCUCGGAACACUGAGACCGAAAGGUCGAGCGUGAAUCAUAUAGAAGAUAUGAUCAACAUAGUGAUGUUCACCAUUGAAAACUACUCCAUCUCACGUGAUGAUCGGACAUGGUUUAGUUGAUAUGGAUCACGUGAUCACUUAGAUGAUUAGAGGGAUGUCUAUCUAAGUGGGAGUUCUUUAAUAAUUUGAUUAACUGAACUUUAAUUUAUCAUGAACUUAGUACCUGAUAGUAUUUUGCAUGUCUAUGUUGUUGUAGAUAGAUGGCCUGUGCUGUUGUUCCAUUGAAUUUUAAUGCGUUCCUUGAGAAAGCAAAGUUGAAAGAUGAUGGUAGCAAUUACACGGACUGGGUCCGUAACUUGAGGAUUAUCCUCAUUGCUGCACAGAAGAAUUACUUUCUGGAAGCACCGCUAAGUGCCAAACCUGCUGCAGGAGCUGAACUAGAUGUUAUGAACGUCUGGCAAAGCAAAGCUGAUGACUACUCGAUAGUUCAGUGUGCCAUGCUUUACGGCUUAGAACCGGGACUUCAACAACGUUUUGAACGUCAUGGAGCAUAUGAGAUGUUCCAGGAGUUGAAGUUAAUAUUUCAAGCAUAUGCCCGGAUUGAGAGAUAUGAAGUCUCCAAUAAGUUCUACAGCUGCAAGAUGCAGGAGAAUAGUUCUGUCAGUGAACAUAUACUCAAAAUGUCUGGGUAUAAUAAUCACUUGAUUCAACUGGGAGUUAAUCUUCCUGAUGAUAGUGUUAUUGACAGAAUUCUUCAAUCGUUGCCACCAAGCUACAAGAGCUUCGUGAUGAACUAUAAUAUGCAAGGGAUAGAUAAGACAAUUCCCGAGCUCUUCGCGAUGCUAAAGGCUGCGGAGGUAGAAAUCAAGAAGGAGCAUCAAGUGUUGAUGGUCAACAAGACCAUGAUCAGUAAUGCUGAAACGCACAGUACAAAUGGAGGAUUUAUAACAGAGUAGCAAUCACACACUUAUUACAUCGAGUUUCUCAAAAGAGAAAUAAGUAUGAUAAAUAUGGCUUAAGGCCAUCUAAUACGAUAACAGCGGAAGACUUGGAAGAUAAGUGAGUCCAUCAACUCCAAUGGCAUCACUGAGUAUAAGACCACGACCUAAGGCACCUUACUCGUCGUCUGAAAAGUCUGCAACAUAAAACGUUGCAGCCCGAAAACGGGUCAGCACAUGGAAUAUGCUGGCAAUGUAACACAUAGAGAGUAAUGAACAUAAUAAUGCUAUACUACAUGCAUAUAUGGCUGGUAGAAGGCUCUAUGGUUACAGUUUUUGCGAAAAGCCAAUUUUUCCCUACUGCAAAGGAAUAAAUUUUGUUUAACUAUCAUGGUGGUUGUUAAACAUUGAGAAUGGUUGACAGCAUUCUCAAUCCCAAUUAAGUAUCAUCAUUAACCCAACAAAAUUAAUUAAAGUAACAUGGUGAUGAGAUUCACAUGAUAAUCCAAGUACUAGAUACUCAAGAUGUCCAUAACCGGGGACACGACUAACCAUGAUUAGUUUGUACACUCUGCAGAGGUUUGUGCACUUUUCCCCACAAGACUCGAUCGCCUCCGCUUGAUUCUCGCACUACAUGAUGUUUGAGAAAUGGAUGACCGAGACACAGUCUUUCAGAAACAAUAACUCUUUACUCCGGGUGGACAGUUACACCUACUUUCCCCUACAUCUGCUAGCCCACCUCUUCAAGAGAUCAUGUAACCUACUCAACUAUGCUAGAGCCCAUAAUAGCUUGUGGCUGCACACGGAAGUUUCUAGCAUGAAUAAUCUUAUGAUCCCUUUGAGCCUGGGUGGCGGUCCUUAGAAAAACAGGCAACACUGGGUUCUCCAGGUGCCUCAAUCCACCCAGAUGUGAGUUUUAGUUGCCACCUUAAGUAAACCAUUAAUUAACAAUCUCACAUCUGUCGUGAAUAUCUCUCAAACCCAAUCCACGUCUACUAGCAUAGCAUAGUGAUAUAAGCAACGUAGAAGUAACUCCCAAGGGUUUGAUAAUAAACAGGUAAUAGGUACUACCUCAACUACAUCCCAAUACCCACAAUUUGAUUAGAUCCUAACCAUGCAAUGUUUGAGGGUUGGUCUAAUGCAAUAAAACUGGGUAGUAAAAAGGUAUGAUCAAAGUGUUACUUGCCUUGCUGAUGAUCUAUGAAACUUAGCGAUUCGAAGUAGCAAGCGGCGCACUCUGGGUACUCUAUCGCAAACAAACAAGCAUACAAUAAGCACUCAUCAAAUGCACAGGUAAAACUCAAAUAACGAUCUAACCAGAAAGUUCAACUUAAGAACUCCGGUUUGCAAAAAGAAUCAAAUCAAACAAAGCAACGAAAGUCAAAUGACGAAAGAAACAAGCUUUGUUUACUAAUCUGGAUCUAGGUCAAAUUUUACAUUAGCAAAAACUUGUUUGAGUGGAUUAAACGGAAAGAGAAUUUCGAGACGAAACUCUAGGCGCUUGAAUUGCCUGAUUCCGAUAAACGAGCGAAAAGAUAAACGAAAACGAAAAUCUGAUCAGAAAUCGCGAUCUGGAAUAAUCGCGGAAAAUCCGACGAAAAAGAAAUCUGACGAACAGUUAAACGAACGGAUAAAUAAACCGAAAAGAAAUAAACCGAUCUAUAUUAAAAAACUAGGGUUUCGAAAAAAAAAUAAACCGAGGUGGGUUUUAAAAAAAAAACCGGACGACGAACGGCGGCGGCUCGGCUAACCUCCGGCGAGGCUCGGGACGGGGCUCCGGCGGGUCGGGCGAGGGCGGCGAGGGGCGGCGGAGCUGCGGGCGUCGAAGGGCGACGAGGGCGGNNNNNNNNNNNNNNNNNNNNNNNNNNNNNNNNNNNNNNNNNNNNNNNNNNNNNNNNNNNNNNNNNNNNNNNNNNNNNNNNNNNNNNNNNNNNNNNNNNNNNNNNNNNNNNNNNNNNNNNNNNNNNNNNNNNNNNNNNNNNNNNNNNNNNNNNNNNNNNNNNNNNNNNNNNNNNNNNNNNNNNNNNNNNNNNNNNNNNNNNNNNNNNNNNNNNNNNNNNNNNNNNNNNNNNNNNNNNNNNNNNNNNNNNNNNNNNNNNNNNNNNNNNNNNNNNNNNNNNNNNNNNNNNNNNNNNNNNNNNNNNNNNNNNNNNNNNNNNNNNNNNNNNNNNNNNNNNNNNNNNNNNNNNNNNNNNNNNNNNNNNNNNNNNNNNNNNNNNNNNNNNNNNNNNNNNNNNNNNNNNNNNNNNNNNNNNNNNNNNNNNNNNNNNNNNNNNNNNNNNNNNNNNNNNNNNNNNNNNNNNNNNNNNNNNNNNNNNNNNNNNNNNNNNNNNNNNNNNNNNNNNNNNNNNNNNNNNNNNNNNNNNNNNNNNNNNNNNNNNNNNNNNNNNNNNNNNNNNNNNNNNNNNNNNNNNNNNNNNNNNNNNNNNNNNNNNNNNNNNNNNNNNNNNNNNNNNNNNNNNNNNNNNNNNNNNNNNNNNNNNNNNNNCAAGGCGGCGGGCGGCGGCCGUGCUCGAGCGGGACUCGGGCGGCGGCGGCGCUGUCGUGCCCAAGAGGGAGACGGGGCGCGGGGCAGCUGGGCCGUCGGCUGGGCUUCGGCCCAGUCGGCGCGCUCGGCGUUUUUUUUAAAUAAUUCAGACGGAUCUAAAAAAAAUCAUAGAAAAAAUAAAUAAAAAUCCAAAAAUGCUAAAACAAGUUUUCGCCAUCUAAUUAAAAUAAUUAGAACAAGAUGAACAUUUUUCUUGGCCCAAAAUGCAGUUUUGAAAACGUGCAAUUUUUCUAAUGCAUUUAAAAUUGCAAAUAAAAUCCGAAUAAAAUCAAAUAUUUGAUUUUAAUAUUUUUCCUCCAAUAUUUCAAUUAUUUUGGAGAAGUCAUAUUUUCUCCUCUCAUUUAUUUUAAUAUGAAAAUAUUUUUCGGAGAGAAAAAUAAUUAAAACCAAAAAUCCUCGUUUUAUUAUUUGAUAAAAAUCAAAUAUGAAAACCGGGAAAAAUCCCCAACUCUCUCCGAGGGUCCUUGAGUUGCUUAGGAUUUUCGAGGAUUUGCCAGAAUGCAAUAAAAUAUGCUAUGCAAUGAUGAUCUAAUGUAUAACAUUCCAAAUUGAAAAUUUGGGAUGUUACAUUUGGGUUGAAUACUCUACCCUCGAAAACUGUUGCGAUCCCCUAUACUUGUGGGUUAUCAAGACUAUUUUCUGGCGCCGUUGCCGGGGAGCAUAGCUCUAUUCUUUGAGUCACUUGGGAUUUAUAUCUGCUGGUCACUAUGAGGAACUUGAAAGACGAGAAAACAAAAAUUUAUCCCUCAACUAUGAGGGGAGGUAAGGAACUGCCAUCUAGCUCUGCACUUGAUCCACCUUCUGUUUUGAGUAAGCCUGCGACACCUAAACCUGCUUCUGCUAUUAAUUCUGAUAUGUCGCAUGUUAUUGAUGAUGCCACUUCUGCUAUGCAUGAUACUUAUGAUGAAACUACUUCUAUGCUUGAUACUACUGUGCCACUUGGUGAAUUUCUUGAUGAACAACUUGCUAGGGCUAGAGAGAAUGAAAUUAUUGAAACUGAUAAUAUUGAUGAAAGUGAUGAUGAAGACUCUCCCAAUAAAUAUUAAUUGCCUGUUGUGCCUGAGGGCUAUGUUAUGGAUGAAGAAACUGCUAGAGACUUUCUGGCUUGCAAUGAUAGAAGUGAUCUUAAGAAAUUAUUAGCUAAGCUUAAACAAAAAACUCUGAAUGCUAGAAUGAAAUAUAAUCCUGCUUAUGCUACUUCACCUAUCUUUGUUACUGAUAAGGAUUAUGAAUUCUCUAUUGAUCCUGAUAUAAUUACUUUGGUUGAGUCUGAUCCUUUUUAUGGCUAUGAAUCUGAAACUGUUGUGGCACAUCUUACUAAAUUAAAUGAUAUAGCCACCCUGUUCACUAAUGAUGAGAGAACUCGCUACUUUUAUAUCCUUAAAAUAUUUCUGUUCUCAUUAAAGGGCGAUGCUAAGACAUGGUUUAAUUCUCUUGAUCCUGGUUGUGUGCGUAGUCCCCAGGAUAUGAUUUAUUACUUCUCUGCUAAAUAUUUCCCUGCUCAUAAGAAACAAACUGCUUUAAGGGAAAUAUAUAAUUUUGUGCAAAUUGAAGAAGAGAGUCUCCCACAAGCUUGGGGGAGGCUUCUCCAAUUACUUAAUGCUCUGCCUGAUCAUCCUCUUAAGAAAAAUGAAAUACUUGAUAUCUUUUAUAAUGGACUAACCGAUGCUUCCAGAGACCACCUGGAUAGUUGUGCUGGUUCUGUUUUCAGGGAAAGAACACCAGAUGAAGCUGAAAUUCUAUUGAAUAAUAUGUUGACAAAUGAAAAUAAUUGGACACUUCCUGAACCAACUCCUAAGCCAACUCCGAAGAAGAGGGGUUUUCUAUUUCUUAGUCCUGAAGAUAUGCAAGAGGCAAAGAAAUCUAUGAAAGAAAAAGGUAUAAAAGCUGAAGAUGUUAAGAAUUUACCUCCUAUUGAAGAAAUACAUGGUCUUAAUUUACCGCAUGUUGAAGAAAUAUAUGAUCUUAAUCCAUUACCUAUUGAAGAAACUCAUGAUAACCCGACACAGGUAGUAAAGGUAAAUUCUCUCUAUAGAUUUGAUGAAGGUGAUAUUCCUCACUAUAAGUCUGCUAGACAAUGCUUAGAUGAGUUUGACAAUUUUAUUGUCAAGCAAGAAAAUUUUAAUGCUUAUUUUGGUAGACAAUUAAAACAAAAUGCUUAUAUGAUUGAACACUUGGGUGAUUAUAUGUCUAGAGUUAAAGGUGAACUUAAACUCAUUAGUAAACAUGCUUCUAUGGUUACCACUCAAGUAGAACAAGUACUUAAAGCUCAGAAUGAUUUGCUCAAUGAAUUGAAUAGUAAUAAUAAUGAUUAUGCUAUUAGAGUGGCUAUUAGAACUGGUAAAAUGACUCAAGAACCUUUGUAUCCUGAAGGCCAUCCUAAGAGAGUUGAGCAGGAUUCUCAGAGAAAUAAUAUAGAUGCACCUAGUCCUUCUAAAAAGAAGAAAAAGAAAAAUGAUAGGACUUUGCAUGCUUCUAGUGAACCUAUUGCUGAACCACCUGAGAAUCCAAAUGAUAUCUCUAUUUCUGAUGCUGAAACACAAUCUGGUGAUGAACAUGAACCUAAUGAUAAUGUUAAUGAUGAUGUUCAUGUCGAUGCUCAACCUAGCAAUGAUAAUGAUGUAGAAAUUGAACCUGUUGUUGAUCUUGAUAACCCACAAUCAAAGAAUCAACGUUAUGAUAAGAGAGAUUUUGUUGCUAGGAAGCACGGUAAAGAAAGGGAGCCAUGGGUUCAGGAACCCAUGCCUUUUCCCCCCAAACCAUCCAAGAAAAAGGAUGAUGAGGAUUUGAGCGCUUUGCUGAAAUGAUUAGACCUAUCUUUUUGCGUAUGCGAUUAACUGAUAUGCUCAAAAUGAAUCCUUAUGCUAAGUAUAUGAAAGAAAUUGUUACAAAUAAAAGAAAGAUACCAGAAGCUGAAAAUUUCCACCAUGCUUGCUAAUUAUACUUUUGAGGGUGGGAUACCUAAGAAACUAGGAGAUACAGGAGUACCCACUAUACCAUGCUCCAUUAAAAGAAAUUAUGUUAAAACUGCUUUAUGUGAUCUUGGAGCCGGUGUUAGUGUUAUGCCUCUCUCUUUAUAUCGUAGACUUGAUUUGAAUAAGUUGACACCUACUGAAAUAUCUUUGCAAAUGGCUGAUAAAUCAACUGUUAUACCUGUCAGUAUUUGUGAGGAUGUGCCUGUUGUGGUUGCAAACGUUACUAUUUUAACGGACUUUGUUACUCUUGAUAUUCCCGAGGACGAUAGUAUGUCUAUUAUUCUUGGAAGACCCUUCUUGAAUACUGCAGGGGCUGUUAUUGAUUGCAACAAAGGCAAUGCCACUUUUCAUGUUAAUGGCAAUGAGCAUACGGUACACUUUCCGAGGAAACAACCUCAAGUCCACAGUAUCAAUUCUAUUGGAAAAUUUCCAUCGAUUAUUAUUGGAGGUUUUGAGUUUCCUCUACCUACUGUCAAGAAGGAAUAUGAUAUUCUUAUUAUUGGGGAUGUGCAUAUCCCCGUUGAGGUAACAUAGUGUUAUUCGAAAUUUCUCCGGUUCCAUGCUAUCCGGAAUGAGUUUGUUAACAAGACUUGAUCAACCUUGUUAGUGGAUUCCUUUUGAUGAGCAUGAGAUGGAUGAAGUUAGAAGGCACAACCUUCUGUACCCUCUCCCUACUUUCUGUUAUUUAGUUGAAAUAAAGUAAAAAUAGUAUUUUUCUGCCUGUUUUCUGAAUUAUCCGUGCAAUAUAAAAAUACCCUGAAAAUAAAAGUUCUCCAAAUGCCCUGAAAUUGAAAUAUGAUUUUUUCUAGAAUAUUUGAGAAUAUUUGGCACUGAGAACACAGCAGGGGGAGCAAGCACCUGGGCACGAGGGUCCAGGGCGCGCCCACCCCCUGGGCGCGCCCCUGCCUCGUGGGCCCACGUGGCUCCCCUUCACUUAUUCCUGCACCCACACACUUCUUCUUCCUCCCAAAAAAUCACCAUCCAGCUCAAGCACGAGUUCUAGCUCUUUUUGCUGCGAUUUUCGAUCUCCUUGCUCAAAGCACCUCGCACAAAACUGCUUUGGGGGAUUGUUCCUUGGUAUGUGACUCCUCCAUUGGUCCAAUUAGUUUUAGUUCUAGUGCUUUAUUCAUUGCAAAUUUGUGCUGCCUAGGUGACCAUGUUCUUGAGCUUGCAUGUCAAAUUGAUAUGGUUCCAAGUAGUUCUGAUGCAUGAUAUAGUUCUUUAGGCACUUGUAGGAGUAGUUGCUAUCAAUUUUGUUGAGCUUGGUUCACUUUUUUUUGAAGUUACUAAAAAUUUCAGAAAUUUUUCAGAGGAAAAAUAUGUUUAGGAAAAUGUACCAAGGUGGUUCUUCAUGGAAGCAAGGACCCAGGCUUGCAAUGCGUGAUGCUGAUGAAGAACCACCAAGGGAUGCUCCAGUGCGGCCUUGUGAAUGGCCUUCAGAGGACUUCAUGGAUCAAGCAGGAAUUAAGGAAGAAUUUAACGCAUAUUUGCGUAACGCUAAUCUUGUGAGCUUCGAGGCAGAUAAGUGCCGUCAGUACCACUAUCUCACUAGUUCCUUUGUGAGGAGGUUUGAAUUUUCAUCUUCACGCAAUUCUCAAACUGUCCUGUUUGGUCUUUAUGAAAAUUCUUACACUAUGGACUUAGAGGAUUUUACCACUGCUUGCAAACUUCCACAAUGGGGUAGUACUAGUGAACCUCGCAAAAAUGAAUUUAGAGAUUUUCUUGCUAGUAUAACUGUGGGGGAAUCUAGAGACAUAGCACAAGCUACCAUAGGGAGCAUUCAUUUUCCUGCUAUACAUUAUUUUGCUCUCUUCAUAGGUAGGUGCAUAAAUGGUAAGAAUGAAGCAUGUCACAUGUGUGUCCCUGACCUCACUAUUCUCAGGAGUGCUGUGUUAGGAGACGAACAUUAUAAUUUGGGAGCCAUUGUUGCACGUAGGUUGCAUCAUAAUAAAUUUAAUGGAGAUUUCUUUGGUGGAAUGUAUGCAACCCGUAUAGCUAAUUUUCUUGGUAUAACUAUACGUGAGGAUGAUAUUGAGUUGCCUCCUGCUCAUUUAGAUUAUGAGGCUAUGGUGCGUCAUCGUUUUGUUAGGAACGAUCAGUUCCUCCAGUACCGAGUAAUCUUUGACAGACGAUGCACCUAUCACGUCGCUCUCCCUGCUUCUACUUUCUUUGACUUUCAGGCAAAGGGGAGAUAUUACAUAACCAGAGAGGAGGAGGAAGAGUAUAAGAGGAGGGCUGAGAUAGCUCGCCUCCAAGCUGCAGCCCACGACGCAAUGACUGCUGCAUCUCAGUACGACCCCAACUACAACUAUGGAUAUCCGCCAGGCCAGCCGUGGCAAUAGACCAACUUAGGCCAAAAGCCCAAGCUUGGGGGAGUACGUAUUUCUCACCGACAUUAUAUUCAUGUUCACACACUCAUUGCUAGAUGUCGGUGCUCAUACUCUUUCAUUGUAAUAUCCAUGCUAGCUUAUUUUUCCUUUGUAUGCUUUCUUCUUGUGUGUUUGAAAAAAACCUUAAGAAAAUUAAAAAAAAAUAGUAGUAGCUUUAGCUAGUUUACUUUUCUUGCCGUAGUAGUAAUAAUUAAAAAGAAAACCCAAAAAUAUUUCCUGUUCUUCUUUGGCUUGUUGGGAGCUUUCCCGUGUAAAUAGUGUUAUUUCUGUUCUUUUCUUUGGGGGUCGAUAGGAGAAGACCAUAAUGAAAAUGUUGAAGUGGCUCUGUUAUGCAUUAUUGUUGAUUUAACCAAGAGUCCAUAUUGCCUUGUCUUCUCCUGUUUAUUGAAUGCCUGCAGAUUCCAGCUUAGUCCAAUGCAUGUGCACUACUAUUAUUAUUCACAUCGUUCGGUCGUGCAAGUGAAAGGCAAUUAUGAUGAUAUAUGAUGAAUUGAUUGAGAUGAGAGAACCUGGUAUGAACUCGACCUCUCUUGUUUUUGUAAAUAUGAUUAGUUCAUCGUUCCUGAUUCAGCCUAUUAUGAAUAAACAUGUUUGCAAUGACAAUUAGAGAUUAUAGUUACUUAUGCCAUGCUUAAUUAGCUAGGAGUUUAUAAUGGCUUACCUUGCAUGCCAACAUGCUAUUAAAAUGGUUGUGAUGUGGUAUGAUGGGGUGGUAUCCUCCUUUGAACGAUUCGAGUGACUUGACUUGGCAUAUGUUCACGCAUGUAGUUGAAACAAAAUCGACAUAGCCUUCAUGAUAUUUAUGUUCAUGGUGGGUUAUAUCCUACUCAUGCUUGCACUCAAUGUUUAUUAAUUUUAAUGCAUGUUCAUGACGGUUGUCGCUCUCUAGUUGGUCGCUUCCCAGUCUUUUGCUAGCCUUCACUUGUACUAAGCGGGAAUACUGCUUGUGCAUCCAAUUCCUUAAACCCCAAAGUUAUUCCAUAUGAGUCCACUAUACCUUCCUAUAUGCGGUAUCUACCUGCCGUUCCAAGUAAAUUUGUAUGUGCCAAACUCUAAACCUUCAAAUGAAAUUCUGUUCUGUAUGCUCGAAUAGCUAUGUAUCAACUAGGGCUGUCCAUAUCUUCCAUGUUAGGCGGGUUAUUCUCAAGAGGAGUGGACUCCGCUCCUCACUCACGAGAAAAUGGCUGGUCACCAGGAUGCCCAGUCCCAUGCUUUAUGCAAAUCAAAUCAAAAUAAUUGCAAACAAAACUCCCCCUGGGACUGUUGCUAGUUGGCGGCACUCGUUGUUUCAAGCAAGCCAUGGAUUGAUGCUUGUUGGUGGAGGGGGAGUAUAAACUUUACCAUUCUGUUUGGGAACCGCCUAUAAUGUGUGUAGCAUGGAAGAUAUCGCCAUCUCUUGGUUGUUAUGUUGACAAUGAAAGUAUGCCGCUCAAAAUAUUAUUUAUCUCUAUUUCAAAAUCGAGCUCUGGCACCUCUACAAAUCCCUGCUUCCCUCUGCGAAGGUCCUAUCUAUUUACUUUUAUGUUGAGUCAUCACCCUCUUAUAAAAAAGCACCAGUUGGAGAGCACCGCUGUCAUUUGCAUCCAUUACUAUUAAUUUAUAUUGGGUAUGACUAUGAUUGGAUCUCUUUUACCAUGAAUUACAAUGUCUAGUCAGUCCUUGAUCCUUAAAGGUGCUCUGCAUUUAUGUUUUGCAGUCUUAGAAAGGGCUAGCGAGAUACCAUCUUGUUAUAUCAUAUCAUGAUUGUUUUGAGAAAGUGUUGUCAUCCGAGAUUUAUUAUUAUUGCUCGCUAGUUGAUUAUGCCAUUGACAUGAGUAAACAUGAGACCUAAAUGUUAUUUUGAAUAUGGUUAGUUAUAAUCUUUGCUGAAAACUUGAAUGCUGGCUUUACAUAUUUACAACAACAAGAGCAAACAGAGUUUGUAAAAGUUUUUCUUUAUCACUUUCAGUUUAUCAACUGAAUUGCUUGAGGACAAGCAAAGGUUUAAGCUUGGGGGAGUUGAUACGUCUCCGUCGUAUCUACUUUUCCAAACACUUUUGCCCUUGUUUUGGACUCUAACUUGCAUGAUUUGAAUGGAACUAACCCGGACUGACGCUGUUUUCAGCAGAAUUGCCAUGGUGUUAUUUAUGUGCAGAAACAAAAGUUCUCGUAAUGACCUGAAACUCCACGGAGAUUAUUUUUGGAAAAUAUAAAAAAUAUUGGCGAAAGAAUCAACGUCAGGGGGCCCACACCGUGGGCACGAGGGUGGGGGGUGCACCCUACCCCCUGGGCGCGCCCCCUGCCUCGUGGGGCCCCUGGAGCUCCACCGACCUCAACUCCAACUCCAUAUAUUCGUGUUCGGGGAGAAAAAAAUCAGAGAGAAAGAUUCAUCGUGUUUUACGAUAUGGAGCCGCCGCCAAGCCCUAAACUCUCUCGGGAGGGCUAAUCUGGAGUCCGUUCGGGGCUCCGGAGAGGGGAAUCCGUCACCAUCAUCAUCAUCAACCAUCCUCCAUCACCAAUUUCAUGAUGCUCACCGCCGUGCGUGAGUAAUUUCAUCGUAGGCUUGCUGGACGGUGAUGGGUUGGAUGAGAUUUAUCAUGUAAUCGAGUUAGAUUUGUUAGGGUUUGAUCCCUAGUAUCCACUAUGUUCUGAGAUUGAUGUUGCUAUGACUUUGCUAUGCUUAAUGCUUGUCACUAGGGCCCGAGUGCCAUGAUUUCAGAUCUGAACCUAUUAUGUUUUCAUGAAUAUAUGUGAGUUCUUGAUCCUAUCUUGCAAGUCUAUAGUCACCUACUAUGUGUUAUGAUCCGGUAACCCCGAAGUGACAAUAAUCGGGACCACUCCCGGUGAUGACCGUAGUUUGAGGAGUUCAUGUAUUCAUUAUGUGUUAAUGCUUUGGUCCGGUACUCUAUUAAAAGGAGGCCUUAUUAUCCCUUAGUUUCCAUUAGGACCCCGCUGCCACGGGAGGGUAGGACAAAAGAUGUCAUGCAAGUUCUUUUCCAUAAGCACGUAUGACUAUAUUCGGAAUACAUGCCUACAUUACAUUGAUGAAUUGGAGCUAGUUCUGUGUGACCCUAUGUUAUGAUUGUUACAUGAUGAACCGCAUCCGGCAUAAUUCUCCAUCACCGAUCCAAUGCCUACGAGCUUUUCACAUAUUGUUCUUCUCUUAUUUACUUUUCCGUUGCUACCGUUACAAUCACUACAAAACCCAAAAAUAUUACUUUGCUACCGUUACCGUUACUAUCAUACUACUUUGCUACUAAAUACUUUACUGCAUAUAUUAAGUUAUCCAGGUGUGGCUGAAUUGACAACUCAGUUGCUAAUACUUGAGAAUAUUCUUUGGCUCCCCUUGUGUCGAAUCAAUAAAUUUGGGUUGAAUACUCUACCCUCGAAAACUGUUGCGAUCCCCUAUACUUGUGGGUUAUCAGACCACCAGUUUCAAGAAAAAGGGCAAAGGGAAGAAGAAGGGGAACUUCAAGAAGAACAGCAAACAAGUUGCUGCUCAAGAUAAGAAACCCAAGUCUGGACCUAAGUCUAAGACUGAUUGCUUCUACUGCAAACAGACUGGUCAUUGGAAAUGGAACUGCCCCAAGUAUUUGGCGGAUAAGAAGGAUGGCAAGGUGAACAAAGGUAUAUGUGAUAUACAUGUUAUUGAUGUGUACCUUACUAAUGCUCGCAGUAGCACCUGGGUAUUUGAUACUGGUUCUGUUGCUAAUAUUUGCAACUCGAAACAGGGGCUACGGAUUAAGCAAAGAUUGGUUAAGGAUGAGGUGACGAUGCGCGUGGGAAAUGGUUCCAAAGUCGAUGUGAUCGCGGUCGGCACACUACCUCUACAUCUACCUUCGGGGUUAGUUUUAGACCUAAAUAAUUGUUAUUUGGUGCCAGCGUUGAGCAUGAACAUUAUAUCUGGAUCUUGUUUGAUGCGAGAUGGUUAUUCAUUUAAAUCAGAGAAUAAUGGUUGUUCUAUUUAUAUGAGUAAUAUCUUUUAGGGUCAUGCACCCUUGAGGAGUGGUCUAUUUAUAUUAAAUCUCGAUAGUAGUGAUACACAUAUUCAUAAUAUUGAAGCCAAAAGAUGCAGAGUUGAUAAUGAUAGUGCAACUUAUUUGUGGCACUGCCGUUUAGGUCAUAUUGGUGUAAAGCGCAUGAAGAAACUCCAUUCCGAUGGACUUUUGGAAUCACUUGAUUAUGAAUCACUUGGUACUUGCGAACCAUGCCUCAUGGGCAAGAUGACUAAAACGCCGUUCUCCGGAACUAUGGAGCGAGCAACAGAUUUGUUGGAAAUCAUACAUACUGAUGUAUGUGGUCCAAUGAAUGUUGAGGCUCGUGGCGGGUAUCAUUAUUUUCUCACCUUCACAGAUGAUUUGAGCAGAUAUGGGUAUAUCUACUUAAUGAAACAUAAGUCUGAAAUAUUUGAAAAGUUCAAAGAAUUUCAUAGUGAAGUGGAAAAUCAUCGUAACAAGAAAAUAAAGUUUCUACGAUCUGAUCAUGGAGGAGAAUAUUUGAGUUACGAUUUUGGUCUACAUUUGAAACAAUGCGGAAUAUUUUCGCAACUCACGCCACCCGGAACACCACAGCGUAAUGGUGUGUCCAAACGUCGUAAUCGUACUUUACUAGAUAUGGUGCGAUCUAUGAUGUCUCUUACUGAUUUACCGCUAUCAUUUUGGGGUUAUGCUUUAGAGACGGCUGCAUUCACAUUAAAUAGGGCACCAUCGAAAUCCGUUGAGACAACACCUUAUGAACUGUGGUUUGGCAAGAAACCAAAGUUGUCGUUUCUUAAAGUUUGGGGCUGCGAUGCUUAUGUGAAAAAGCUUCAACCUGAUAAGCUCGAACCCUAAUCGGAGAAAUGUGUCUUCAUAGGAUACCCAAAGGAAACUGUUGGGUAGACCUUCUAUCACAGAUCCGAAGGCAAGACAUUCGUUGCUAAGAAUGGAUCCUUUCUAGAGAAGGAGUUUCUCUCGAAAGAAGUGAGUGGGAGGAAAGUAGAACUUGAUGAGGUAACUGUACCUGCUCCCUUAUUGGAAAGUAGUUCAUCACAGAAACCGGUUCCUGUGACAUCUACACCAAUUAGUGAGGAAGCGAAUGAUGAUGAUCAUGAAACUUCAGAUCAAAUUACUACUGAACCUCGUAGGUCAACCAGAGUUAGAUCCGCACCAGAGUGGUACGGUAAUCCUGUUCUGGAAGUCAUGUUACUAGACCAUGACGAACCUACGAACUAUGAGGAAGCGCUGAUGAGCCCAGAUUCCGCAAAAUGGCUUGAGGCCAUGAAAUCUGAGAUGGGAUCCAUGUAUGAGAACAAAGUAUGGACUUUGGUUGACUUGCCGGAUGAUCGGCAAGCCAUCGAAAAUAAAUGGAUCUUCAAGAAGAAGACGUACGCUGAUGGUAAUGUUACUGUCUACAAAGCUCGACUUGUUGCGAAAGGUUUUCAACAAGUUCAAGGAGUUGACUACGAUGAGACCUUCUCACCCGUACCGAUGCUUAAGUCCGUCCGAAUCAUGUUAGCAAUUGCUGCAUUUUAUGAUUAUGAAAUUUGGCAAAUGGAUGUAAAGACUGCAUUCCUGAAUGGAUUUCUGGAAGAAGAGUUGUAUAUGAUGCAACCUGAAGGUUUUAUCCAUCCAAAGGGUGCUAACAAAGUGUGCAAGCCCCAGCGAUCCAUUUAUGGACUGGUGCAAGCCUCUCGGAGUUGGAAUAAACGUUUUGAUAGUGUGAUCAAAGCAUAUGGUUUUAUACAGACUUUUGGAGAAGCCUGUAUUUACAAGAAAGUGAGUGGGAGCUUUGUAGCAUUUCUAAUAUUAUAUGUGGUUGACAUAUUGUUGAUUGGAAAUGAUAUAGAAUUUCUGGAUAGCAUAAAAGGAUACUUGAAUAAGAGUUUUUCAAUGAAGGACCUCGGUGAAGCUGCUUACAUAUUGGGCAUCAAGAUCUAUAGAGAUAGAUCAAGACGCUUAAUUGGACUUUCACAAAGCACAUACCUUGACAAAGCUUUGAAGAAGUUCAAAAUGGAUCAGGCAAAGAAAGGGUUCUUGCCUGUGUUACAAGGUGUAAAGUUGAGUAAGACUCAAUGCCCGACCACUUCAGAAGAUAGAGAGAAAAUGAAAGAUGUUCCCUAUGCUUCAGCCAUAGGCCCUAUCAUCUAUGCAAUGUUGUGUACCAGACCUGAUGUGUGCCUUGCUAUUAGUUUAGCAGGGAGGUACCAAAGUAAUCCAGGAGUGGAUCACUGGACAGCGGUCAAGAACAUCCUGAAAUACCUGAAAAGGACUAAGGACAUGUUUCUCGUUUAUGGAGGUGACGAAGAGCUCAUCGUAAAUGGUUACGUUGAUGCAAGCUUUGACACUGAUCCGGACGAUUCUAAAUCGCAAACCGGAUACAUGUUUAUAUUGAACGGUGGAGCUGUCAGUUGGAGCAGUUCUAAACAAAGCGUCGUGGUGGGAUCUACAUGUGAAGCGGAGUACAUAGCUGCUUCGGAAGCAGCAAAUGAAGGAGUCUGGAUGAAGGAGUUCAUAUCUGAUCUAGGUGUCAUACCUAGUGCAUCAGGACCAAUGAAAAUCUUUUGUGACAAUACUGGUGCAAUUGCCUUGGCAAAGGAAUCCAGAUUUCACAAGAGAAGUAAGCACAUCAAGAGACGCUUCAACUCCAUCCGGGAUCAAGUCCAGGUGGGAGACAUAGAGAUUUGCAAGAUACAUAUUGAUCUGAAUAUUGCAGACCCGUUGAGUAAGCCUCUUCCACGAGCAAAACAUGAUCAGCACCAAGGCUCCAUGGGUGUUAGAAUCAUUACUGUGUAAUCUAGAUUAUUGACUCUAGUGCAAGUGGGAGACUGAAGGAAAUAUGCCCUAGAGGCAAUAAUAAAGUUAUUAUUUAUUUCCUUAUUUCAUGAUAAAUGUUUAUUAUUCAUGCUAGAAUUGUAUUAACCGGAAACAUAAUACAUGUGUGAAUACAUAGACAAACAGAGUUUCACUAGUAUGCCUCUACUUGACUAGCUCGUUAAUUAAAGAUGGUUAUGUUUCCUAACCAUAGACAUGAGUUGUCAUUUGAUUAACAGGAUCACAUCAUUAGGAGAAUGAUGUGAUUAACUUGACCCAUUCUGUUAGCUUAGCACUUGAUCAUUUAGUAUGUUGCUACUGCUUUCUUCAUGACUUAUACAUGUUCCUAUGACUAUGAGAUUAUGCAACUCCCGUUUACCGGAGGAACACUUUGUGUGCUACCAAACGUCACAACGUAACUGGGUGAUUAUAAAGGUGCUCUACAUGUGUCUCCGAAGGUACUUGUUGAGUUGGCGUAUUUCGAGAUUAGGAUUUGUCACUCCGAUUGUCGGAGAGGUAUCUCUGGGCCCACUCGGUAGUGCACAUCACUAUAAGCCUUGCAAGCAUUGUAACUAAUGAGUUAGUUGCAGGAUGAUACAUUACUGAACGAGUAAAGAGACUUACCGGUAACGAGAUUGAACUAGGUAUUGAGAUACCGACGAUCGAAUCUCGGGGAAGUAACAUACCGAUGACAAAGGGAACAACGUAUGUUGUUAUGCGGUUUAACCGAUAAAGAUCUUCGUAGAAUAUGUGGGAGCCAAUAUGAGCAUCCAGGUUCCGCUAUUGGUUAUUGACCGGAGACGUGUCUCGGUCAUGUCUACAUAGUUCUCGAACCCGUAGGGUCCGCACGCUUAAAGUUCGGUGACGAUCGAUAUUAUGAGUUUUUGUGUUUUGAUGUACCGAAGGUAGUUCGGAGUCCUGAAUAUGAUCACGGACAUGGCGAGGAGUCUCAAAAUGGUCGAUACGUAAAGAUCGAUAUAUUGGACGACUAUGUUCGGACACCGGAAAUGUUUCGGGAGGUUUCAGACAUUUACCGGAGUAUCGGGGGGUUACCGGAACCCCCCGGGUAGUAUAUUGGGCCUAAUGGGCCUUAGUGGGAGAAGAGGAGGGGCGGCCAGGGCAGACGCGCUCCCCCUCCCCCUCUAGUCUGAAUUGGACAAGGAGGGGGGGGGCGGUGCCCCCCUUUCUCCUUCUCCUCCUCUCUCCCUUCCUUCCCUUCUCCUACUCCAACAAGGAAAAAGAGGAGUCCUACUCCCGAUGGGAGUAGGACUCCCCUCUUGGCGCGCUCUCCUUGGCCGGCCGCCUCUCCCCCUUGCUCCUUUAUAUACGGGGGCAGGGGGCACCUCUAGACACACAAGUUGAUCUGUUGAUCUCUCCCAGCCGUGUGCGGUGCCCCCCUCCACCAUAUUCCACCUCGGUCAUAUCGUAGCGGUGCUUAGGCGAAGCCCUGCGUUGGUAGCAACAUCAUCACCGUCAUCACACCGUCGUGCUAACAGAACUCUCCCGUGAAGCUCUGCUGGAUCGGAGUUCGUGGGACGUCAUCGAGCUGAACGUGUGCUGAACUCGGAGGUGCCGUACGUUUGGUACUUGGACCGGUCGGAUCGUGAAGACGUAUGACUACAUCAACCGCGUGGUGCUAACGCUUCCACUUUCGGUCUACGCGGGUACGUGGACACACUGUCCCCUCUCGUUGCUAUGCAUCACCAUGAUCCUGCGUGUGCGUAGGAUUUUUUUUGAAAUUACUACGUUCCCCAACACAUAUGUCCCAAACCAAUAGUCAAACUCGGCCACACCAAAACUUUCUAUCCGGCGCCACCGAGUUCACUUGACAUAGCCAUUGCCACAAACCCUAGUCAAUUCGGUCUCACCGAUGGGAUCUCGGUCUCACCGAGAUAGGAUUGCAAACUCUCUGGUUCCUGUUGCAAUAAAUUCGGUCUUACCGAGUUUUGUAAUCGGUCUCACCGAGUUUGCUUGACCAACUCUCUUGUUAGCUCAUUACCAAAAUCGGUCCCACCGAGUUUGUGUAAUCGGUCAAACCGAUAUAAGGCUUUACCAUAAGCCUAGCACAUCGGUCCUACCGAGUUGAUCAUAUCAGUCCCACCGAAAUGCCUAACGGUCACAUUAUGAACUAAAUCGGUCUGACCGAGUUUGGUGAUUUGUGUGUAAAAGUUAGAUUUUGUGAGGAGGCUAUAUAUACCCCUCCACCCACUCUUCAUUCAUUAGGAGAGCCAUCAGAACAUGCCUACACUUCCAGCAUACAUUUUCUGAGAGAGAACCACCUACUCAUGUGUUGAGGUCAAGAUAUUCCAUUCCAACCACAUAAAUCUUGAUUUCUAGCCUUCUCCAACUUGCUUUCCACUCAAAUCAUCUUUCCACCAAAUCCAAAUCUGUGAGAGAGAGUUGAGUGUUGGGGAGACUAUCAUUUGAAGCACAAAAGCAAGAAGUUCAUCAUCAACACACCAUCUAUUACCUUUUGGAGAGUGGUGUCUCAUAUAUUGGUUAGGUGGCACUUGGGACCCUCCGUCAAGAUUGUGGAGUUGAACCAAUGAGUUUGUACGGGCAAGGAGAUCGCCUACUUCAUGAAGAUCUACCCUAGUGAGGCAAGUCCUUCGUGGGCGAUGGCCAUGGUGGGAUAGACAAGGUUGCUUCUUCGUGGACCCUUCAUGGGUGGAGCCCUCCGUGGACUCGCGCAACCAUUACCCUUCGUGGGUUGAAGUCUCCAUCAACAUGGAUGUACGAUAGCACCACCUAUCCGAACCACGCCAAAAAUCUUUGUGUCUCCAAUUGCGUUUGCACACUCCAAUCCCAUCCCUUUACAUUCUUGCAAAUUGCAUGCUUUACUUGCCGCUGCUCACAUACUCUUGUCAUGCUUGCUUGAUAUGUGUUGUGAAUGUUUAAACUUGUGCUAAAACUCAAUCUCAACUUGAAGAAAUAAAAAACUACAACUUUUUCUUGCUAAGAGUCUAUUCACCCCCCUCUAGACACCUCUUCUCAAUCCUUUCAAUUGGUAUCAAAGCUUUGGUCUCCAUUGCUUUGGUUUAAACACGUUUGGAGGGAAAUGGAUGAGCCUACGUUGGGGAGUCUUAGAUGUAGAGUGCCUAUUCUUGAUGGAGAGUACUUUCAUGAGUGAAAAAAAUGAGAUGCUUGAGAUUUUCAAUGAAUAUCACUUGAACAAGUACAUUACUAGUCCUUGCAUUCCCCUAGUGAUCCUUUGCAUCCCUCUCCCGAUGAGGAUCUUGACAUGAUUCGCAAUCUUAGAACUAUCAAUCUUAUCAUUAGAGGAUUGCCAAAAAAUUUGAUUGCUAGCUUACCCGCUCUUGAUUGUGCUUACACCAUAUGGAGAUUUAUUGAGGAACGAUUCCCAAAUUAUUCCUUGAAAAAUCUAAAUGAGAUUCUCCAUAAGUCUAUUGCCUUGAAUAGAAUGAGUACUAGUGAUCCUAAGUUUGAUGAGUGCCUGUUUGAGCUUCGUGAUCUCAUGCUUUCCAAAGGAGAUGUUGAAAUUGUUAGCAAUAUCAUUUCCGAAGUCAUUAGGAUCCAUAGAGAUGAACAUUGUUGCGGUCAUACUUCUAAUGAAUCACCUUCUCUAGGAAAUUAUCAAUUAUAAGAUGAUGUUGAACAUGGAUACUAUGAUGAGGAUGAAGAUAGUGACUUUGAUCUCGAUGAGUCUAUGAGACACUUUGGUCUUAUGGCAAACCUUCGGGGCUACAUGGCUGGAGGAAAGGAAUGGGUCCUUGAUAGUGGAUGUAACAAUCAUAUGACCGGAGACAAGGAUAUGUUUCAUGAGCUUGCUGAAAACGACAACCCUCAGAAGUAUGUCACUUUUGGUGAUAACUCAAAGGGUAAGGUGGUUGACCUUGGUAAGGUGGACAUCUCACAUGAUAGCUCCAUACAAAAUGUUAUGCUCGUUGAAUCUCUUGGCUACAAUUUACUUUCCGUAUCUAGACUUGCUGACUUUGGUUUCGAUGUCCUAUUUACUGAAGUAGAUUGCCAAGUGUUUCGUAGAGAUAAUAUAAAAUGGUCUUUACCUGUAUACGUAGAGGUGAUCUUUACAUUGUUGAUUUCACUAAAAAAGGCUCGACCUAGAACUUGCUUAAUUGCUAAAUCUUCGAAAGGCUGGUUGUGGCAUAGAAGGUUAGGUCAUGUGGGCAUGCGCAAUCUUGAUAAGCUUAUUAAAGGUGAUCAUAUCCUUGGAGUGAAAGAUGUUAUAUUUGACAAGGAUAGAUUGUGUAGUGCUUGUGAAGUAGGAAAAAAGUAGGAGGAAGUCACCCCGUGAAGAACAUCAUGACCACGAGAAGACCGCUCGAGCUACUUCAUAUGGAUCUCUUUGGUCCCAAUGCCUACAAAAGUCUCGGUGGUAACUCAUUUGAUCUAGUCAUAGUCGAUGAUUUUUCAAGAUUUACGCGGGUGUUCUUUCUUGAUGAUAAAUCGCAGGUUCAAAAGAUCUUCAAGAACUUCGCUAGGAAGGCCCAAAAUCAAUUUGAAGUGAAGAUCAAGAAGGUUCGAAGCGACAACAGAACGGAGUUCAAGAAUGCAAAUGUGGAUAACUUUCUUGACGAAGAAGGUAUCUCACAUGAGUUCUCGGCCACGUACACACCUCAACAAAAUGGAGUUGUUGAGAGGAAGAAUCGGACUCUUAUUGAGAUGGCGAGAACGAUGCUUGAUGAGUACAAGACUCCAAAACACUUUUGGGCAGAAGCGGUUGAGACGGCUUGUCAUGCAACAAAUCGCUUGUAUCUUCACAAGCUACUCGACAAGACGGUAUACGAGCUCCUCACCGGUAACAAACCCCAAGUUGGAUACUUUCGAGUAUUCGGCUCAAAGUGCUACAUUCUUGAUAAGCAUCGUCGUUCUAAAUUUGCUCCCAAAUCUAAUGAGGGUUUCCUAGUUGGUUAUUGCUCAAACUCUCACACUUACCGUGUCUACAAUAAUUUCACCCGAAAGGUUGAAGAAACGGUAGAUGUGAAGUUUGAUGAAUCUAAGGGCUCGCAAGUAGAGAAAUUGCCAAUUUAUGUAGGAGACAAAGACCCUUUGGAAGCAAUCCAAGACUUGUCUAUUGGCAAGAUUCGUCCAACAGAGGUGAAGGAGAGUACCUCGUCCGUCCAAGUGGAAGCUUCUACCUCACGACAAGGUGAACCAAGAGUUGACAUGGAAUCAUCCACAAGUGGGACACAUCAAGAUGAAGAAAACGAGGAAAUGCAUCAAGAUGAACCACAUCAACCUCCUUCUCCACCACGACGAGAGAAAGACAACGUCAACAAUGAAUAAGGCCAAGAGGAAGGACAAGAUGAUGAAAAAGAUGUUCCACCCCGACCCAAGCAAAAGCUCUCACGAGUUCGAGCAAGAGUCUCAAGAGACCAUCCCGUCGAACAAAUCUUCAAUGAUAUUCAAACCGGGAGAAUCACUCGCUCUAAAACUCGUUUGGCUAACUUUUGUGAACAUUAUUCAUUCAUCUCUAGCAUUGAACCUAUGAAGGUUGAAGAAGCAUUGGAAGAUCCAGAUUGGAUAAAUGCCAUGCAUGAAGAGCUACACAACUUUGAGAGAAAUCAAGUAUGGACAUUGGUCGAGAAGCCUGACAACAACCACAACAUCAUUGGUACCAAAUGGGUGUUUCGCAACAAGCAAGACCAAGAUGGUCAAGUCGUCCGCAACAAAGCACGCCCCGUCGCCCAAGGCUACACUCAAGUCGAAGGUAUGGACUAUGGUGAGACAUACGCCCCCGUUGCUAGACUUGAGUUCAUUCGCAUCUUACUUGCCUAUGCUAAUCACCAUGAUAUCACCUUGUACCAAAUGGAUAUCAAAAGUGCCUUUUCUAAAUGGUGAAAUUGAGGAGGAAGUUUUUGUUAAACAACCUCCCGGCUUUGUCAAUCCUAAGAAACCUGACCAUGUUUACAAACUUCAUAAAGCUCUUUAUGGUCUUAAACAAGCUCCUAGAGUUUGGUAUAAAUGCUUGACCAAGUUCCUUAUUGAAAAAGGCUUUGAGAUUGGAAAGAUAGAUUCUACUCUUUUCACUAAAGGGGUUAAUGGUGAAUUACUCGUGUGCCAAAUUUAUGUUGAUGAUAUCAUAUUUUGUUCCUAACCCUCAUUUUAGUGAAAAGUUUGGGAAGCUAAUGUUGAAGAAGUUUGAGAUGUCUAUGAUGAGUGAACUCAAGUUCUUUCUUGGUUUGAAAAUCAAGCAAACAAAGGAAGGCACCUUUGUUUCUCAAACAAAGUACACCAAAGACAUAUUCAAGAAGUUCAACAUGCAAGAAAGCAAAGGUAUGAAAACGCCCAUGCCUACUAGUGGACAUCUUGACUUGACCAAGGAUGGCAAAUCGGUUGACCAAAAGGUUUAUCGCUCUAUGAUUAGUUCAUUUUUAUAUCUAUGUGCCUCUCGUCCCGAUAUUAUGCUAAGUGUGUGCAUGUGUGCACGAUAUCAAGCAGCCCCCAAAGAAUGUCAUCUUAAGGCUGUGAAAGGAUAGUGAGAUACUUAAUACAAACACCAAAUUUUGGCAUUUGGUAUCCCAAGAGGUCUUCUUUUGAUCUUGUUGGCUACUCCGAUUCGGACGAUGCCGGAGACAAGGUUGAUAGAAAAUCCACUUCGGGUACGUGUCAAUUUCUUGGUAGAUCUCUUGUGUCUUGGUCCUCCAAGAAACAAAACUCGGUAUCCUUAUCCACCGCCGAAGCGGAAUACAUUGCCGCCGGUUCAUGUUGUGCUCAAUUACUUUGGAUGACCCGAACUCUUAAAGAUUAUGGGAUCAAUGUGAAACUUGUUCCAUUGCUUUGUGACAAUGAGAGUGCUAUUAAGAUUGCUCACAAUCCCGUGCAACAUUCUUGAACUAAGCAUAUUGAAGUUCAUCAUCAUUUCAUUCGAGAUCAUGUUGCUAAAGGGGACAUUGAUCUUAAGCAUGUUCGUACCGAUAAGCAAUUGGCGGAUAUAUUCACCAAACCGCUUGAUGAGAAAGUAUUUUGCCGUUUGAGAGGUGAAUUGAACAUCACUGAUGCUUCAAACUAGGAAUAGGAACUCCAUGUGGAUACAUGCAAGGCAUGAGCCUAUGACUAAUCCUUGACUUUUUCUCUUAUGAUGAUGAUCAUAUGUCUCGGGUAUAUUUGUACCCUUGCAUGCUAUCUAACCCUUGUAGGUACUUGGAUGAAUCUAAAUCCAUGAGAUUGCACUCCACUCACAUCUUGAGCAAUCUCUACAUCACCAAGUUUCUACACCAUGGUGGUUGAACACAAGGAAGCAUGAAACCCUUCAACAUAUCCUUUGACAAAUUCUAUAUAUAUCAAAUUUCAUUUGAUAUCAAAUUUCAUGAUUGUCAUGUUAGAUACACAAGUGCUCUUCCUUGCAAAACUAACCCAUGUAGGUAGAUGAACUCAAUGGUGCUCCCAACCAUUGAUGCGCUACAUCAACCUUGAGCACUCCACACAAGUUCAACUACAUGAUAAAGUUUAACACCACCACCCAAGGUAUGCUAUUCCAUCUUAGAGAAGCUUUACCCCAGGUUAUGGGUCAAAGCAGCUCAACAAGAUGUGAAUACAUCAAAUGCUUAAACAAAAAAUGGUAACCCCAUUUCGAGCUUUAACGAUGAGUAUGACUUGUGAUCAAGUGUUCUCACUUGACUCCUCAGUCAAUAUACUCUAACAUAGGCUACUUUGUCGCCGCCCAAUUCUAGAUGAAGUUCUCUAGUGUUUCUUUGAGUUCUUGCAUUUGUACAUUCCAUAUUUGUUCCCCUUCUUUCUAUUAAAAAAAACUUCAUGUAGAUUUUAUUUUCUUUUUGUCAGUUUUGUUCUGCAUUUCCUGCAUCUAAUUCAUUGCAAAUCCUUUAGUUAAUUCCUUGCAAAUCUUUGUGAGAUCUUAUUUGCCUAGUGAGCUGAGGUGACAAUUGCUCUUUCUCUGUGUUAAACUCGGUCACACCGAUUUAUCACUUUCGGUCAAACCGAAUCACUUCGAUGCAACCAAAAAAUAUAUCUUGGUGUCACCGAUUUCAAUGCAGAGAAGACAAUUUGCCACUUGUUCGUGCACUUUUGUUCCAGCUCCACUCAAUGAUUCUUGUCCUCUACCAGCAUCAUAUUCUAUAUACUGCUUUGCUCUGUGACUCCAGGACCAAAACUAUCUUGACUCACACUCUAGAAGACUCCUUCUUGGAAAUUGAUGUCAAAGGGGGAGAGAGAGCACAUCAAAGCUUAUUUACAUCAAAAGGGGGGAGAGACAUAAUGACAUCAAGGGCCCAGAUGCUUGGUGUUCAAGAGGAGAGAAGUCACAUGUCUUUGAGAGGGGAAAGACAUGUUUAUGUUAUCUGAUAUAUUUUUGCUAUGAUUUCAUUUCUCAAAUUUCUCCCAUUAUCCAGUAUAAGAUUCAGGGGGAGAAAGAUUGCUAGGGAAGGAAAUCUUGAAUUCAUUGCAUAUCUUUAUCUUUGGGGACAUGUCUGUAUAACACUAGAGUACCUAGUACUCACUCUCUACAUGCCAUCCCAGUCUUGGUACUCUUGUGGCUCUUUUGUUUACUCUGUCUAGUAGUUGUAUCUGCGUUAUCUAACCUUGUUUACUCAGGUUCAUCUCUUCCUAAGUCAACUCAAGACCACAGGGUAAGUAUAUGCAUCACACUCAUGUGCAUGAUGAUUUCUUGCUAAAUGUACAUAUUGUUUGCAAGAAGGAAUCAUGAACAUGAGGUUAUAACUUCAUAUAUUCACAUCACUUGCUCUGAUGCAUAUAGCCAAGAUACAUGUAACUCAUUGCUUGCUUUGUCAUGUUUAUGCAUUCACAUGCUCGUAUAUUCCAUAUUGACAUGAUUGCAUACAUGUAGGGGGAGCCUAUGCAUGUUACAUGUCUUUCCAAAGCUUUACUUGCUAUUAUCUAUAUCUUUAUCUAAAGCUUUGAUGUAUGUUUUCAUCAAUUACCAAAAAGGGGGUGACUGAAAGAACAAGUGCUCCCUGGGUGGUUUUGGUAAUUAAUGUCAACAUAUCUCUUGUUGGACUAAUCCUUUAUCUAGAAUAUUUCAGACAAGUUCAAUAGAUGGAGUGGCGUGGACAAGAGGAUGUGGAACCCCUUCAAGGUGCUAAGGACAAAGGAUUGGCUCAAGCUCAAAAUCUCAAGACUCUACAUUUUACUUUUAGUGAUCCAAGAUCACAUAGAGUCCAUAGGAAAGCAAAUACUAUUAAAAGGGGAUGAUGUGUUGCUUAAUGGCUUGCUUGAUCAAGGUGCUUAGUGAUAUGCUCCAAAAACCCUCAACCACUUUCUCAUGUCCACAUAUGUCCCAAACCAAUAGUCAAACUCGGCCGCACCGAAACAUUCUAUCCGGCGCCACCGAGUUCACUUGACAUAGCCACUGCCACAAACCCUAGUCAAUUCGGUCUCACUGAUGGGAUCUAAGUCUCACCGAGAUGGGCUUGCAAACUCUUUGGUUCCUGUUGCAAUAAAUUUGGUCUUACCGAGUUUUGUAAUCGGUCUCACCGAGUUUGCUUGACCAACUCUCUGGUUAGGUCAUUACCAAAAUCGGUCCCACCGACUUUGUGUAAUCGGUCAAACUGAGAUGAGGCUUUACCCUAACCCUAGUACAUCGGUCCUACCGAGUUGAUCAUAUCGGUCCCACCGAAAUGCCUAACGGUCACAUUAUGAACUAAAUCGGUCUGACCGAGUUUCAUUAUUCGGUCUCACCGAGUUUGAUGAUUUGUGUGUAAUGGUUAGAUUCUGUGUGGAGGCUAUAUAUACCCCUCUACCCACUCUUCAUUCGUUAGGAGAGCCAUCAGAACAUGCCUACACUUCCAGCAUACAUUUUCUGAGAGAGAACCACCUACUCAUGUGUUGAGGUCAAGAUAUUCCAUUCCAACCACAUAAAUCUUGAUCUCUAGCCUUCUCCAACUUGCUUUCCACUCAAAUCAUAUUUCCACAAAAUCCAAAUCUGUGAGAGAGAGUUGAGUGUUGGGGAGACUAUCAUUUGAAGCACAAGAGCAAGGAGUUCAUCAUCAACACACCAUCUAUUACCUUUUGGAGAGUGGUGUCUCCUAGAUUGGUUAGGUGUCAGUUGGGAGCCUCCGUCAAGACUGUGGAGUUGAACCAAGGAGUUUGUACGGGCAAGGAGAUCGCCUACUUCAUGAAGAUCUACCCUAGUGAGGCAAGUCCUUCGUGGGCGAUGGCCAUGGUGGGAUAGACAAGGUUGGUUGUUCGUGGACCCUUCAUGGGUGGAGCCCUCCAUGGACUCACACAACUGUUACCCUUCGUGGGUUGAAGUCUCCAUCAACGUGGAUGUACGAUAGCACCACCUAUCGGAACCACGCCAAAAAUCUCCAUGUCUCCAAUUGCGUUUGCACACUCCAAUCCCAUCCCUUUACAUUGUUGCAAAUUGCAUGCUUUACUUUCCGCUGCUCGCAUACUCUUGUCAUGCAUGCUUGAUAUGUAUUGUGAAUGUUUAAACUUGUGCUAAAACUCCACCUCAACUUGAAGAAAUUAAAAACUACAACUUUUUCUUGCUAAGAGUCUAUUCACCCCCUGUCUAGACACCUCUUUUCGAUCCUUUCAAUUGGUAUCAGAGCUUUGGUCUCCAUUGCUUUGGUUUAAACACCUUUGGAGGAAGAUGGAUGAGUCUAUGUUGGGGAGUCUUAGACCUAGAGUGCCUAUUCUUGAUGGAGAGUACUUUCAUGAGUGGAAAAAUGAGAUGCUUGAGAUUUUCAAUGAAUAUCACUUGAACAAGUACAUUACUAGUCCUUGCAUUCCCCUAGUGAUCCUUUGCAUCCCUCUCCCGAUGAGGAUCUUGACACGAUUCGCAAUCUUAGAACUAUCAAUCUUAUCAUUAGAGGAUUGCCAAAAAAUUUGAUUGCUAGCUUACCUGCUCUUGAUUGUACUUACACCAUAUGGAGAUUUCUUGAGGAACGAUUCCCAAAUUAUUCCUUGAAAAAUGUAGAUGAGAUUCUCCAUAAGUCUAUUGCCUUGAAUAGAAUGAGUACUAGUGAUCCUAAGUUUGAUGAGUGCCUGUUUGAGCUUCGUGAUCUCAUGCGUGCCAAAGGAGAUGUUGGAAUUAUUAGCAAUAUCAUUUCCAAAGUCAUUAGGAUCCAUAGAGAUGAACAUUGUUACAGUCAUACUUCUAAUGAAUCACCUUCUCUAGGAAAUGAUCAAUUACAAGAUGAUGUUGAACAUGGAUACAAUGAUGAGGAUGAUGAUAGUGACUUUGAUCUCGAUUUGUCUAUGAGACACUUUGGUCUUAUGGCAAACCUUUGCGGCUACAUGGUUGGAGGAAAGGAAUGGGUCCUUGAUAGUGGAUGUACCGAUCAUAUGACCAGAGACAAGGAUAUGUUUCGUGAGCUUGCUCAAAACGACGGCCCUCAGAAGUAUGUCACUUUUGGUGAUAACUCAAAGGGUAAGGUGGCCAUCUCACAUGAUAGCUCCAUACAAAAUGUCAUGCUCGUUGAAUCUCUUGGCUACAAUUUACUUUCCGUAUCUAGACUUGCUGACUUUGGUUUCAAUGUCCUAUUUACUGAAGUAGAUUGCCAAGUGUUUCGUAGAGAUAAUAUAAAAUGGUCUUUACCGGUAUACGUAGAGGUGAUCUUCACAUUGUUGAUUUCACUAAAAAGGCUCAACCUAGAACUUGCUUAAUUGCUAAAUCUUCGAAAGGCUAGUUGUGGCAUAGAAGGUUAGGUCAUGUGGGCAUGCGAAAUCUUGAUAAGCUUAUUAAAGGUGAUCAUAUACUUGGUGUGAAAGAUGUUAUAUUUGACAAGGAUAGAUUGUGUAGUGCUUGUGAAGCAGGAAAACAAGUAGGAGGAAGUCACCCCGUGAAGAACAUCAUGACCACGAGAAGACCGCUCGAGCUACUUCAUAUGGAUCUCUUUGGUCCCAAUGCCUACAAAAGUCUCGGUGGUAACUCAUUUGGUCUAGUCAUAGUCGAUGAUUUUCCAAGAUUUACGUGGGUGUUCUUUCUUGAUGAUAAAUUGCAGGUUCAAAAGAUCUUCAAGAACUUCGCUAGGAAGGCCCAAAAUCAAUUUGAAGUGAAGAUCAAGAAGGUUCGAAGCGACAACGGAACGGAGUUCAAGAAUGCAAAUGUGGAUACCUUUCUUGACGAAGAAGGUAUCUCACAUGAGUUCUCGGCCACGUACAUACCUCAACGAAAUGGAGUUGUUGAGAGGUAGAACUGGACUCUUAUUGAGAUGGCGAGAAUGAUGCUUGAUGAGUACAAGACUCCAAAACACUUUUGGGCGGAAGCGGUUGAGACGGCUUGUCAUGCAACAAAUCGCUUGUAUCUUCACAAGCUACUCGGCAAGACGGUAUACGAGCUCCUCACCGGUAACAAACCCCAAGUUGGAUACUUUCGAGUAUUCGUCUCAAAGUGCUACAUUCUUGAUAAGCAUCGUCGUUCUAAAUUUGCUCCCAAAUCUCAUGAGGGUUUCCUAGUUGGUUAUGGCUCAAACUCUCACACUUACCGUGUCUACAAUAAUUUCACCCGAAAGGUUGAAGAAACGGUAGAUGUGAAGUUUGAUGAAUCUAACGGCUCGCAAGUAGAGCAAUUGCCAAUUUAUGUAGGAGACAAAGACCCUUCGGAAGCAAUCCAAGACUUGUCUAUUGGCUAGAUUCGUCCAACAGAGGUGAAGGAGAGUACCUCGUCCGUCCAAGUGGAAGCUUCUACCUCACGACAAGGUGAACCAAGAGUUGACAUGGAAGCAUCCACAAGUGGGACACAUCAAGAUGAAGAAAACGAGGAAAUGCAUCAAGUUGAACCACAUCAACCUCCUUCUCCACCAUGACGAGAGAACGACAACAUCAACAAUGAAGAAGGCCAAGAAGAAGGACAAGAUGAUGAAAAAGAUGUUCCACCCCGACCCAAGCAAAAGCUCUCAUGAGUUUGAGCAAGAGUCUCAAGAGACCAUCCCGUCGAACAAAUCUUCAAUGAUAUUCAAACCGGGAGAAUCACUCGCUCUAAAACUCGUUUGGCUAACUUUUGUGAACAUUAUUCAUUCAUCUCUAGCAUUGAACCUAUGAAGGUUGAAGUAGCAUUGGAAGAUCCAGAUUAGAUAAAUGCCAUGCAUGAAGAGCUACACAACUUUGAGAUAAAUCAAGUAUGGACAUUGGUCGAGAAGCCUGACAACAACCACAACAUCAUUGGUACCAAAUGGGUGUUUCGCAACAAGCAAGACGAAGAUGGUCAAGUCGUCCGCAACAAAGCACGUCUCGUCGCCCAAGGCUACACUCAAGUCGAAGGUAUGGACUAUGGUGAGACAUACGCCCCCGUUGCUAGACUUGAGUCCAUUCCCAUCUUACUUGCCUAUGCUAAUCACCAUGAUAUCACCUUGUACCAAAUGGAUAUCAAAAGUGAUUUUCAAAAUGGUGAAAUUGAGGAGGAAGUUUUUGUUAAACAACCUCCCGGCUUUGUCAAUCCUAAGAAACCUGACCAUGUUUACAAACUUCAUAAAGCUCUUUAUGGUCUUAAAUAAGCUCCUAGAGCGUGGUAUAAAUGCUUGACCAAGUUCCUUAUUGAAAAAGGCUUUGAGAUUGGAAAGAUAGAUUCUACUCGUUUCACUAAGGGGUUAAUGGUGAAUUAUUCGUGUGACAAAUUUAUGUUGAUGAUAUCAUAUUUUGUUCCUAACCCUCAUUUUAGUGAAAAGUUUGGGAAGAUAAUGUCGAAGAAGUUUGAGAUGUCUAUGAUGAGUGAACUCACGUUCUUUCUUGGUUUGCAAAUCAAGCAAACGAAGGAAGGCACCUUUGUUUCUCAAACAAAGUACACCAAGGACUUAUUCAAGAAGUUCAACAUGCAAGAAAGCAAAGGUAUGAAAAUGCCCAUGCCUACUAGUGGACAUCUUAACUUGACCAAGGAUGGCAAAUCGGUUGACCAAAAGGUUUAUCGCUCCAUGAUUGGUUCAUUGUUAUAUCUAUGUGCCUCUCAUCCCGAUAUUAUGCUAAGUGUGUGCAUGUGUGCACGAUAUCAAGCAGCCCCCAAAGAAUGUCAUCUUAAGGCUGUGAAAAGGAUAGUGAGAUACUUAAUACAUACACCAAGUUUUGGCAUUUGGUAUCCCAAGAGGACUUCUUUUGAUCUUGUUGGCUACUCCGAUUCGGACUAUGCCGGAGACAAGGUUGAUAGAAAAUCCACUUCGGGUACGUGUCAAUUUCUUGGUAGAUCUCUUGUGUCUUGGUCCUCCAAGAAACAAAACUCGGUAUCCUUAUCCACCGCCGAAGCGGAAUACAUUGCCGCCGGUUCAUGUUGUGCUCAAUUACUUUGGAUGACCCGAACUCUUAAAGAUUAUGGGAUCAAUGUGAAACUUGUUCCAUUGCUUUGUGACAAUGAGAGUGCUAUUAAGAUUGCUCACAAUCCCGUGCAACAUUCUUGAACUAAGCAUAUUGAAGUUCGUCAUCAUUUCAUUCGAGAUCAUGUUGCUAAAGGGGACAUUGAUCUUAAGCAUGUUUAUACCGAUAAGCAAUUGGCGGAUAUAUUCACCAAACCGCUUGAUGAGAAAGUAUUUUGCCGUUUGAGAGGUGAAUUGAACAUCAUUGAUGCUUCAAACUUGGAAUAGGAACUCCAUGUGGAUACAUGCAAGGCAUGAGCCUAUGACUAAUCCUUGACUUUUUCUCUUAUGAUGAUGAUCAUAUGUCUCGGGUAUAUUUGUACCCUUGCAUGCUAUCUAACCCUUGUAGGUACUUGGAUGAAUCUGAAUCCAUGAGAUUGCAAUCCACUCACAUCUUGAGCAAUCUCUACAUCACCAAGUUUCUACACCACGGUGGUUGAACACAAGGAAGCAUGAAACCCUUCAACAUAUCCUUCGACAAAUUCUAUAUAUAUAUCAAAUUUCAUUUGAUAUCAAAUUUCAUGAUUGUCAUGUUAGAUACACAAGUGCUCUUCCUUGCAAAACUAACUCAUGUAGGUAGAUGAACUCAAACUAUGAGUGGUGCUCCCAACCAUUGAUGCGCUACAUCAACCUUGAGCACUCCACACAAGUUCAACUGCAUGAUAAAGUUCAACACUACCACCCAAGGUAUGCUAUUCCAUCUUAGAGAAGCUUUACCCCAGGUUAUGGGUCAAAGCAGCUCAACAAGAUGUGAAUACAUCAAAUGCUUAAACGAAAAAUGGUAACCCCAUUUCGAGCUUUAACGAUGAGUAUGACUUGUGAUCAAGUGUUCUCACUUGACUCCUCAGUCAAUAUACUGUAACAUAGGUGACUUUGUCGCCGCCCAAUUCUAGAUGAAGUUCUCUAGUGUUUCUCUGAGUUCUUGAAUUUGUACUUUGCAUAUUUGUUCCCCUUCUUUCUAUUUAAAAAAACUUCAUGUAGAUUUUCUUUUCUUUUUGUCAGUUUCGUUCUGCAUUUCCUGCAUCUAAUUCAUUGCAAAUCCUUCAGUUAAUUCCUUGCAAAUCUUUGUGAGAUCUUAUUUGCCUAGUGAGCUGAGGUGACAAUUGCUCUUUCUCUGUGUUAAACUCGGUCAGACCGAUUUAUCAAUUUUGGUCAAACCGAAUUACUUCGAUGCAACCAAAAAAUAUAUCUCGGUGUCACCGAUUUCACUGCAGAGAAGACAAUUUGCCACUUGUUCCUGCACUUUUGUUCCAGCUCCACUCAAUGAUUCUUGUCCUCUACCAGCAUCAUAUUCUAUAUGCUUCUUUGCUCUUUGACUCAAGGAACAAACCUAUCUUGACUCACACUCCAGAAGACUCCUUCUUGGAAAUUGAUGUCAAAGGGGGAGAGAGAGAGCACAUCAAAGCUUAUUUACUUCAAAAGGGCGGAGAGAGAGAUAAUCACAUCAAAGGCCCCAGAUGCGUGGUGUUCAAGAGGAGAGAAGUCACAUGUCUUUGAGAGGGGAAAGGCAUGUUUAUGUUAUCUGAUAUGUUUUUGCUCUGAUUUCGUUUCGCAAAUUUCCCCCAUUAUCCAGUAUAAGAUUCAGGGGGAGAAAGAUUGCUAGGGAAGGAAAUCUUGAAUUCAUUGCAUAUCUUUUUAUCUUUGGGGACAUGUCUGUAUCAAACUAGAGUACCUAGUACUCACUCUCUACAUGUCAUCCCAGUCUUGGUACUCUUGUGGCUCUUUUGUUUGCUCUGUCUAGUAGUUGUAUCUGCGUUAUCUAACCUUGUUUACUCAGGUUCAUCUCUUCCUAAGUCAACUCAAGACCACAGGGUAAGUAUAUGCAUCACACUCAUGUGGAUGAUGAUUUCUUGCUAAAUGUACAUGUUGUUUGCAAGAAGGAAUCAUGAACAUGAAGUUAUAACUUCAUAUAUUCACAUCACUUACUCUGAUGCAUAUAGCCAAGAUACAUGUAACUCAUUGCUUGCUGUGUCAUGUUUAUGCAUUCACAUGCUUGUAUAUUCCAUAUUGACAUGAUUGCAUACAUGUAGGGGGAGCCUAUGCAUGUUACAUGUCUUUCCAAAGCUUUACUUGCUAUUCUCUAUAUCUUUAUCUAAAGCUUUGAUGUAUGUUGUCAUCAAUUACCAAAAAGGGGGAGAUUGAAAGCCCAAGUGCUCAUAUCUCUUGUUGGACUAAUGCUUUAUCUAGAAUAUUUCAGACAAGUUCAAUAGAUGGAGUGGCGUGGACAAGAGGAUGUGGAACCCCUUCAAGGUGCUAAGGACAAAGGAUUGGCUCAAGCUCAAAAGCUGAAGACUCUACAUUUCACUUUUAGUGAUGCAAGAUCACAUUGAGUCCAUAGGAAAGCCAAUACUAUUAAAAGGGGAUGAGGUGUUGCUUAAUGUCUUGCUUGCUCAAAGUGCUUAGUGAUAUGCUCCAAAAACCCUCAACCACUUUCUCAUAUCCACAUAUGUCCCAAACCAAUAGUCAAACUCUGCCACACCGAAACAUUCUAUCCGACACCACCGAGUUCGCUUGACAUAGCCACUGCCACAAACCCUAGUCAAUUCGGUCUCACCGAUGGGAUCUCGGUCUCACCGAGAUGGGCUUGCAAACUCUCUGGUUCCUGUUGCAAUAAGUUCGGUCUUACCGAGUUUUGUAAUCGGUCUCACCGAGUUUGCUUGACCAACUCUCUGGUUCGUACAUUACCAAAAUCGGUCCCACCGAGUUUGUGUAAUUGGUCAAACCGAGAUGAGGCUUUACCCUAACCCUAGCACAUCGGUCCUACCGAGUUGAUCAUAUCGGUCCCACCGAAAUGCCUAACGGUCACAUUAUGAACUAAAUCGGUCUGACCGAGUUUCAUUAUUCGGUCUCACCGAGUUUGGUGAUUUGUGUGUAACGGUUAGCUUUUGUGUGGAGGCUAUAUAUACCCCUCCACCCACUCUUCAUUCGUUAGGAGAGCCAUCAGAACAUGCCUAUACUUCCAGCAUACAUUUUUUGAGAGAGAACCUCCUACUCAUGUGUUGAGGUCAAGAUAUUCCAUUCCAACCACAUAAAUCUUGAUCUCUAGCCUUCUCCAACUUGCUUUCCACUCAAAUCAUCUUUCCACCAAAUCCAAAUCUGUGAGAGAGAGUUGAGUGUUGGGAAGACUAUCAUUUGAAGCAUAAGAGCAAGGAGUUCAUCAUCAACACACCAUCUAUUACCUUUUGGAGAGUGGUGUCUCCUAGAUUGGUUAGGUGUCCCUUGGGAGCCUCCGUCAAGAUUGUGGAGUUGAACCAAGGAGUUUGUACGGGCAAGGAGAUCGCCUACUUCGUGAAGAUCUACCCUAGUGAGGCAAGUCCUUCAUGGGCGAUGGCCAUGGUGGGAUAGACAAGGUUGCUUCUUCGUGGACCCUUCGUGGGUGGAGCCCUCCGUGGACUCGCGCAACCGUUACCCUUCGUGGGUUGAAGUCUCCAUCAACGUGGAUGUACGAUAGCACCACCUAUCGGAACCACGCCAAAAAUCUCCGUGUCUCCAAUUGCAUUUGCACACUCCAAUCCCAUCCCUUUACAUUCUUGCAAAUUGCAUGCUUUACUUUCCGCUGCUCACAUACUCUUGUCAUGCUUGCUUGAUAUGUAUUGUGAAUGUUUAAAUUGUGCUAAAACUCCACCUCAACUUGAAGAAAUUAAAAACUGCAACUUUUUCUUGCUAAGAGUCUAUUCACCCCCCUCUAGACACCUCUUCUUGAUCCUUUCAAUUUCUCUCAGUUUGAGAACCAAGGUAUCAAUCCAGUAGGAGGUACGAACAAAUCUCCAAUCUAUGCACCUGCACAAACAAUCAAGCACUUGCACCCAACGCGAUAAAGGGGUUGUCAAUCCCUUCACAGUCACUUGCAAGGAUGAGAUCUGAUAGAGAUAGAUAUAAAAUAUUACUAAAACAUAAAACAAAGUAAAUACAAAUAAAUUGCAGCAAGGUAUUUUUGGGUUUUUGGUUUUGUAGAUCUGAAAAUAUAUGAUGGAAAAUAGACCCCCGGGGCCAUAUGUUUCACUAAAGGCUUCUCUCUUGAAAGAAAACAUACGGUGGGUGAACAAAUUACUGUCAAGCAAUUGAUAGAAAAGCGCAAAGUUAUGACGAUAUCCAAGGCAAUGAUUAUGAAUGUAGGCAUCAUGUCCGUGUCAAGUAGACCGAAAUGAUUCUGCAUCUACUACUAUUACUCCACACAUCGACCGCUAUCCAGCAUGCAUCUAGGGUAUUAAGUUCAUAAGAACGGAGUAACACCUUAAGUAAGAUGACAUGAUGUAGAGGGAUAAACUCAAGCAAUAUGAUGAAAACCCCAUCUUUUUACCCUUGAUGGCAACAAUACAAUACGUGCCUCGCUACCCUUUCUAUCACUGGGUGAGGACACCGCAAGAUUGAACCCAAAACUAAGCACCUCUCCCAUUGCAAGAAGAAUCAAUCUAGUUGGCCAAACUAAACCAAUAAUUCGAACAUAAAUACAAAGAUAUUUAAUCAUGCAUAUAUGAAUUCAGUAAAGACUCAAAUAAUAUUCACUGAUAAUCUGAUCAUAAAUCCACAAUUCAUCGGAUCUCGACAAACACACCGCAAAAGAAUAUUACAUCGGGUAGAACUCCAAGAACAUCAAGGAGGACAUUGUAUUGAAGAUCAAAGAGAGAGAAGAAGCCAUCUAGAUACUUGCCAUGGACCCGUAGGUCUGUGGUAAACUACUCACGCUUCAUCGGUAGGGCAAUAUUGUUGAUGUAGAUGCCCUCCAUGAUCGAAUCCCCCUUCGGCAGGGUGCCAGAAAAGGCCCCAAGAUGUGAUCUCACGGGAACAGAGGCUUGCGGCGGCGGAAAAGUAUUUUCGUGGAUGCCUAUGAUGGUUUGGGAAUAUUUGGGAAUUUAUAGGCCAAAGAGUAGGGUUAUGGGACUCCCGCGGGGCCCACAAGCCAGGCCCCCCUAGGGCGCGCCCUCAGGGCUUGUGGAGCCCUCGGGACUCUUCUGCCUUCCUCUCCAAGCUCCGUGGAUGUCUUCUGUUCCAAGAAAAAUCAUCAGGAAAGUUUUAUUCCAUUUGGACUCCGUUUGAUAUUCGUUUUCUGUAAAACUCAAAAACAAGAAAAAAACAGGAACUGACACUGGGCUCUAGGUUAAUAGGUUAGUCCAAAAAAUAAUAUAAAAUAGCAUAUUAAUGCAUAUAAAAUAUCCAAAAUAGAUAAUAUAAUAGCAUGGAACAAUAAAAUAUUAUAGAUACGUUGGAGACGUAUCACGUCACGACCGGUCACUAUUUUAGGGGGGUUUUCGUCGAGAAAACCCAAGGAAAUUCGGACGGUGCGAAAAAAUGAUAAAAACUUGCACGCAAGAUGCCCUUGGUGAUGCGGGUGUGUGGAAAAAGUUUGGGGUCAUCUGGUGGAGUAAAAAACACACUUUGUACUUGCCCUCCUUCAUAUUCGAUCAGUGUUGGUUGUACAGGUGCUACAAGGUGGCAUGCAUGAAAUGACAUCCAAUUUUGCCAGCGAGUGGGAAUGCCCUACGUAGGCCCCCAGGCAAGACUGGAACGAAUUCAGAGACCAAGCGCGUGUUGCGUCACGACCGGUCACUGUUUUAGGGGUUUUUUGCCGAGAUAACGCUAGGAAAAUCGUACGGUGUCGAAAAAUGAUAAAAACUUGCACGCAUAAAGCCCCUGGUGAUGCGGGUGUGUGGAAAAAGUUUAGAGUAUGAAUUUUUUUUACAAUGUAUUGCUACAUUAUAAAAUACAUCGGUCAUCAGUGUUGCCUUCUUGAAGAGUGAUCAUGAUCAGCAUGAAUAUUAUCGGUGAACAUUCAUAUAGAUCCUGAACAACUUACAAAUAGACUUCAUUGAACAACGACGAUUAUGUAAAUAUAAAAAAUACUAUUUUUUAAGAUGGUCAACGGUGCGCCAGCCGGGCGAGGUGGGACUAUAGCCUGCAAUUAGGCCGUCGAAUCAUCGCGCUUGCCUGCAACCGUCUGCCCCGCGCAUGCAGACGUGACCAGUUCCACCCCCCCCAAAUAACUAAAAGGAUGGAUUUUUUGUUAAUCGUUAGAAUUUUUUUUUGCUAAAAAAAGGCUGGAUAUUUUCCGUCGCUAAAAAAAAUCAGAGAUUAUUGCUCUCUUUUUGAAGAAUAUGCAUGAUCCUUAUGAACCUUCGCAAGCUCUGAGCAGGUGAAGACUUAUAUCGAUCCUACAUAUCCUCCAAAUAGAGUCCAACAAACAAAGAUGUUUGUUCAUGUUGAAAGAGAAAAGUAUAUAAAGGAGUCUGAUACGUCCACUUUGUAUCAUGCUUUUAUAUUGAUAUUUAUUGCAUUAUGGGCUGUUCUUACCUAUUUUGGUAUAAUACUUAUGCCUUUCUCUCUUAUUUUACAAGGUUUACAUGAAGAGGGAGAAUGCCGACAGCUGGAAUUCUGGGCUGGAAAAGGAGCAAAUAUUAGAGACCUAUUCUGCACAACUCCAAAAGUCCUGAAAAUUUACGGAGAGUCAUUUUGGAAUAUAUAAAAAAUAUUGGGCGAAGAAAGCACCAGAGGGGACCCACCAGCCAUCCACAAGGGUGGGGGGCACGCCCUACCCCCUGGGCGCGCCCCUGCCUUGUGGGCCCCCUGGCAGGCCUCCGAUGUCCAUCUUAUGCUAUAUGGUGUCUUUUGACCUGGAAAAAAUCAUAAGGAAGCUUUCGGGACGAAGCGCCGCCGUCUCGAGGCGGAACAUGGGCAGAACCAAUCUAGGGCUCCGACGGAGCUGUUCUGCCAGGGAAACUUCCCUCUCGGAGGGGGAAAUCAAAGCCAUCAUCAUCACCAUCGAUCCUCUCAUCGAGAGGGGGUCAAUCUCCAUCAACAUCUUCACCGACACCAUCUCCUCUCAAGCCCUAGUUCAUCUCUUGUAUCUGAUCUUUGUCUCAAAACCUCAGAUUGGUAUUUGUGGGUUGCUAGUAGUGUUGAUUACUCCUUGUAGUUGAUGCUAGUUGGUUUAUUCGGUGGAAGAUCAUAUGUUCAGAUCCUUAAUGAUAAUUAAUAAUCCUCUGAUUAUGAAUAUGAAUAUGCUUUGUGAGUAGUUACGUUUGUUCCUGAGGACAUGGGAGAAGUCUUGUUAUAAGUAAUCAUGUGAAUUUGGUAUUCGUUCGAUAUUUUGAUGAGAUGUAUGUUGUCUUUCCUCUAGUGGUGUUAUGUGAAUGUCGACUACAUGAAACUUCACCAUGAUUAGGGCCUAGGGGAAGGCAUUGGGAAGUAAUAAGUAGAUGAUGGGUUGCUAGAGUGACAGAAUCUUAAACCCUAGUUUAUGUGUUGCUUCGUAAGGGGCUGAUUUGGAUCCAUAUGUUUCAUGCUAUGGUUAGAUUUAUCUGGAUUCUUCUUUCGUAGUUGCGGAUGCUUGCGAGAGGGGUUAAUUAUAAGUGGGAGGCUUGUCCAAGGAAGGGCAGCACCCAAGCACCGGUCCACCCACAUAUCAAAUUAUCAAAGUAACGAACGUGAAUCAUAUGAGCAUGAUGAAAACUAGCUUGACAGUAAUUCCCAUGUCUCCUCGGGAGCGCUUUGCUUUAUAUAAGAGUUCGUCUAGGCUUGUACUUUGCUACAAAAAAGAUUGGGCCACCUUGCUUCACCUUAGUUACCCUUUUUACUUGUUACCCGUUACGAAUUAUCUUAUCGUACAACUAUCUGUUACCGAUAAUUUCAGUGCUUGCAGAGAAUACCUUGCUGAAAACCGCUUGUCAUUUCCUUCUGCUCCUCGUUGGUUUCGACACUCUUACUUAUCUAAAGGACUAUGAUAGAUCCCCAAUACUUGUGGGUAAUCAAGAAUAUUUUCUGGCGCCGUUGCCGGGGAGUGAAGCGCCUUUGGUGAGUGGAAUUUGCUAAGGAAACAUUUAUAUAGUGUGCUGAAAUUUACUGUCACUUGUCACUAUGGAAAAUAAUCCUUUGAGGGGCUUGUGAGGGGUAUCUUCACCUUGACCUAUAGAGCAAGAAGUUUCUCCUCAACCUACUGAAAAUAAUUAUUAUGAAAUUCCUUCAGGUAUGAUAGAGAAACUACUAGCUAAUCCUUACGCAGGAGACGGAACAUUACAUCCCGAUAUGCAUCUAAUCUAUGUGGAUGAAGAUUGUGGAUUAUUUAAGCUUGCAGGAUUGCCCGAGGAUGAUGUCAAGAAGAAGGUAUUCCCUUUAUCUUUGAAGGUAAGGGCAUUGACAUGGUAUAGGCUAUGCGAUGAUAUUGGAUCUUGGAACUACAACCGAUUGAAAUUUGAAUUUCAUCAGAAGUUUUAUCCUAUGCAUCUGGUUCAUCGUGAUCGGAAUUAUAUAUAUAAUUUUUGGCCUCGUGAAGGAGAAAGUAUCGCUCAAGAUUGGGGGAGGCUUAAGUCAAUGUUAUAUUCAUGCCCCAAUCAUGAGCUCUCAAGAGAAAUUAUUAUUCAGCAUUUUUAUGCUCGGCUUUCUCGUAAUGAUCAAUCCAUGCUCGAUACUUCUUGUAUUGGUUCUUUUAUGAAGAAGAAUAUUGAAUUCAAAUGGGAUUUAUUGGAAAUAAUUAAACGCAACUCUGAAGAUUGGGAACUCUAGAAGGUAAGGAUUCAGGUAUAAACUUUAAAUUUGAUUGUGUUAAUUCUUUUAUGCAUACCGAUGCUUUUCGUGAAUUUAGCACUAAAUAUGGACUUGACACUGAGAUAGUAGCUUCUUUCUGUGAAUCCUUUGCUACUCAUGUUGAUCUCCCUAAAGAGAAGUGGUUUAAAUAUCCUCCUCCUAUUGAAGUGUAAGUAGUAGAACCUAUUAAAGUUGAAGAAGAAACUAUUAAAUGUUGAUCAUGUUGUUCCUACUGCUUAUAUUGAGAAACCACUUUUUCCUGUUAGGAUAAAGGAUCAUGCUAAAGCUUCGGCUGUGGUUCGUAAGAGUUAUACUAGAACACCUACACCCCCCGAACAAAUUAAAGUUGAACCUAGUAUUGCUAUGGUUAAAAAUCUCUUGGUUGAUAAUAUUGAUGGGCAUGUUAUUUUUUUCUGUGAUGAAGCUGCUAGAAUUGCUAAACCCGAUAUUAAAGAUAAACAUAGACCUGUUGUUGGCAUGCCUGUUGUUUCUGUUAAAAUAGGAGAUCAUUUCUAUCAUGGCUUAUGUGAUGUGGGUGCUAGUGUGAGUGCGAUUCCUUUUACUUUAUAUCAGGAAAUUAUGAAUGAUAUUGCACCUGCUGAGAUAGAAGAUAUUGAUGUUACUAUUAAGCUUGCCAAUAGAGAUACUAUAUCACCAAUUGGGAUUGUUAGAGAUGUUGAAGUCUUGUGUGGGAAAAUAAAAUACCCUACUGAUUUUCUCGUUCUUGGUUCCCCACAAGAUGACUUUUAUCCCAUUAUAUUUGGUAGACCUUUCUUGAAUACUGUUAAUGAUAAGAUAGAUUGUGAGAAAGAAAUUGUUACUGUAAGCUUUGGGGAUAUUACUCAUGAUUUUAAUUUCUCUAAAUUUCGUAGACAACCCCAUGAUAAAUAAUUGCCUAGUAAGGAUGAAAUUAUUGGUCUUGCUUCUAUUGCCGUGCCUCCUACAGAUCCUUUAGAACAAUAUUUGCUAGACCAUGAAAAUGAUAUGUGAAAGGAUCGAGAAGAGGUGUCUAGAGGGGGGUUGAUUAGACCCUCAAUAAAGAAAAGUAGCACUUUUUAAUUUCUUCAAGUUAAGGUGGAGUUUUAUCACAAGUUUAAACAUUCACAAUACAUUUCAAGCAAGCAUGGCAAGAGUAUAUGAGUAGCGGAAAGUAAAACAUGCAACUUGCAAGAAAGUAAGGGAUGGGAUUGGAGUAUGCAAACGCAAUUGGAGACACGGAGAUUUUUGCCAUGGUUCCGAUAGGUGGUUCUAUCGUACAUCCACGUUGGUGGAGACUUCAACCCACGAAGGGUAAUGGUUGUGCGAGUCCACGCAGGGCUCCACCCACGAAGGGUCCACGAAGAAGCAACCUUGUCUAUCCCACCAUGGCCAUCGCCCACGAAGGACUUGCCUCACUUGAGUAGAUCUUCACGAAGUAGGCGAUCUCCUUGCCCUUACAAACUCCUUGGUUCAACUCCACAAUCUUGAUGGAGGCUCCCAAGUGACACCUAACCAAUCUAGGAGACACCACUCUCCAAAAGGUAAUAGAUGGUGUGUUGAUGAUGAACUCCUUGCUCUUGUGCUUGAAAUGAUAGUCUCCCCAACACUCAACUCUCUCUCACAGAUUUGGAUAUGGUGGAAAGAUGAUUUGAGUGCAAAGCAACUUGGGGAAGGCUAGAGAUCAAGAUUCUUGUGGUUGGAUUGGAAUGUCUUGGUCUCAACACAUGAGUAGGUGGUUCUCUCUCAGAAAAUGAAUGCUGGAAGUGUAGGCACGUUCUGAUGGCUCUCUCCACGAAUUGAGGAAGGGUGGAGGGGUAUAUAUAGCCUCCACACAAAAUCUAACCGUUACACACAAUUUACCAAACUCGGCGGGACCAAAUAGUGAAACUCGGUCGGACCGAUUAAGUUCAAAAUGUGAACAUUAGGAUUUUCGGUGGGACCGACAUGAUCAACUCGGUGGGACCGAUGUGCUAGGAUUAGGGUAAAACCUCAACUCAGUUUGACCGAUUACACAACUCGGUGGGACCGAAUAGUGAAACUCGGUCGGACCGAUUCAGUUCAAAAUUUGAACGUUAGGAUUUUCGGUGGGACUGGCAUGAUCAACUCGGAGGGAAUGAUGUGCUAGGGUUAGGGUAAAACCUCAACUUGGUUUGACCGAUUACACAACUCGGUGAGACCGAUUUUGGUAAUGAGCAAACAGAGAGUUGGUCAAGCAAACUCGGUGGGACCGAUUGCAUAUCUCGAUGGGACCGAAAUAAUUACAACAGGUAAUUAGAGAGUUUGCAAGCCCAUCUUGGUGAGACCAAGACCCAUCGGUGAGACCGAAUUGAUUAGGGUUUCUGGCGCCUCAGGUGGUGGCGCCUCAGGUGGGAGGAUAUAAGUUCACUAAGGUACUCAUGGACGGAGGAAGCAACAUCAAUAUCCUUUAUUAUGAAACUUUCCAUCGCAUGGGGUUGACUGAUAAGAAUCUGAAGCCGUCAAACACUGUUUUUCCCGUCGUGGUGCCUGGUAAGUCGGCAUACCUAGUUGGUAAGAUAGCUCUGGAAGUUGCUUUUGGAGAUGAUCAUGAAUCUAGGUCGGAGACAUUGACCUUUGAAGUGGUGAAAAUCAAGAGCCCUUAUCAUGCUCUGUUUGGACGGCCGGCUUAUGCUAAGUUCAUCGCAAGGCCUUGUUAUGUUUAUCUGCAGCUCAAGAUGCCGGGUUACAAGGGAACCAUCAUGGUGUACGGAAGCCGGAAGAUCACUUUAGAGUGCGAGGAAGGUGAUGCAACCUAUGCUGAGUUGGUUUGUGCAACAGAGGAGUUGAAAUUUUACAAAGAUAAUGUUGACCCGGCUGACAUGACAUCUUUGAAAAAGCCAACUAUGGAGCACGACCCGGCGUUGAAGUUUAAAUCGGCGGAUGAUACCAAGCUAGUUGACUUCAUUCAUGGUGACUCAUCUAAGGAGUUCAGUAUCAAUGCUAACCUGGAUUCGAAAUAGGAAAGCGCGCUCAUCGAGUUCAUCCGUGAGAACCGGGACAUCUUUGCAUGGAAACCUUCUGACUGCGACGUGUACCGAGGGAACUUGCUGAGCACACCCUUAAUAUUGAUCCCAAGUUUAAGCCGGUCAAGUAGUUUCUUCAUCAUUUCAAUGAAGAGAGGCAUAAGGCCAUUGGUGAGGAGGUAGCCCGGCUCUUGGCGGCUGGGUUUAUUGUUGAAGUGUUUCAUCCGGAGUGGUUGGCUAACCCAGUGUUGGUACUUAAGAAGAACUGUAAGUGCAUCUAGUGCCACCCCUAGUUGGUUUUGGAGUAUUGACGACAAACCUGGUUGAGGGACUAAUGUGUUUGUGAGAAUUGCAGGAUAACACAGGUAGUAGUCCCUCAUUAAUUCGGUUUACCUACCGGAGAUGACCCCUAAAAAUGUAUGAAUACAUUGAAGACAAUGGUGGUAUGUGAAGAUAUUCGCAUUGAAGACUAUGACAAGAGAAGACAUCGCAUGAAGACUAUGGAGCGCGAAGACUUAGUUGUUUCGUGUUUCCUUUUCUUCUUUGUUGAGUCAUAGGAACCACCGCACUGUUAAGUGGGGUCUCAGUGAACAAAGUCAGAGUGACUGAAGUGAUGCUCAACCAACUCCUAUGUCUUCGAGCGAAGACAAUGAGAGCAAAUCUUAUCCAGAGUUGGAUGAGUCAGCUUUACUUGUAGCCCAAGUCAAGCUGCCGCGUGUGUUUGAAAACUGACCGUUGGAACACGUGUUAGUUCCUUAGUGACCCAGGGUCAUUUCGGACAAAUCAGGUCGGGUUGCCUAGUGGCUUAAAAUAGCCCACCCCCUACACCAUAAAUUGGUGGCUGCUCAGAGUUAGUGCACGUCUUUUGUCGUUUGAGAGCAACCCACCUCCGAAGCUUUUGAGAGAGAGAAAUCCUUGCGAGGACAAAGCCCACACACCCAGAGCCAAAGAGUGUUAGGAAUCACUGAAGUCUUUCUGUCCGCGUGACCUGAAGACUUGUUACACUUGAGGACUGUGAAUACUCCAGCCGGUUAGGCGUCGCGUUCUGAGCAUCCAAGAGUCAUUGUGGAUUGCCGGUGAACGAAGUCUGUGAAGGUUUGGAAGUCUACCUUGAAGACUUACCAGAGUGAUUGGGCGAGGACUGGGUGUCCUUAGCUCAAGGGGAAUAAGGUGAAGACACGGUCUUCUGAGUUAAAUCUCAGCCUCCCUAACCAGACGUACAGUUGUCACAGCAACUGGAACUGGUCCAACAAAUCCUUGUCCUCAUCAAGCGUCUGGUUCUAUCUUCUCCCUCUCUUUAUUUAUAAUUUUUCUUCGUGAAGUCAUUGCCUGCUUGUGUUACCUGUUUGACUUCACUGUGUGACUUCUAUUGUUGUUUGGCUUCACACUAUCUUCCAUCCUGAUCUUUACUACCUAGCUGCUAUUAGUCUUCGUGCUUUCACUUCAUUGAAUACUUGACUAUGGCUUGCCUAGUGUAGUCUACCUUCCGCUGCAUGUCAAUAGGUUCAUUUCCAUUGUUUGUCUUUGAAACUCCCAUGUUUUGAAGACGUUCAUAAAAAUCGCCUAUUCACCCCCCUCCAGUCGAUAACUAGCACUUUCAAGAACGGCACUUGGCGUAUGUGUGUGGAGUACACAGACUUAAACAAGGAUUGUCCGGCUGAUCCUUUUGCUCUCCCUCGUAUUGAUCAGAUUAUUGAUGCUACGACGGGUUGUGAGGUUUGAGUUUUUUGGAUGCUUAUUCUGGGUAUCAUCAGAUCAAGAUGGCUGUUAAGGACCAGGAGAAGACAACUUUUAUAACUCCCUUUGGAGCCUUCUGCUAUGUGUCUAUGCCUUUUGGGCUCAAGAGUGCCCAGGCGACUUACCAGCGCUGUGUGCAGAAUUGUCUUCAUAAUCAGAUUGGGCGCAAUGUUCAUGCUUAUGUGGAUGAUAUUGUAGUGAAAUCCAGAAAGAAGGAGACCUUGAUAGAUGACUUAAAGGAAACCUUUGAUAACCUCCGGGUUUAUAAGAUGAUGCUUAACCCGGCCAAGUGCAUUUUUGGUGUGCCAGCAGGCAAGCUCUUGGGUUUUCUAGUUUGUAACAGAGGCAUUGAAGCUAAUCCGGAGAAGAUCAAAGCCAUUACUUCUUUAGCUAAACCGGCGUGUAUCAAUGAUGUUCAACGUCUGGCGGGUCGUAUUGUGGCCUUAAGCCAGUUCAUAAGCCGGUUGGGAGAGAAGGCCAUCCCUCUAUAUUAGAUGAUGAAAAAGAUAGAUAAUUUUGUCUGGAGUGAUGCUGCUAAUGCAGCGUUUGAGGACUUGAAGAAACAGCUGGCUGAGCCCCCCGUUCUUGCUACUCCUAUUAAUAAAGAGCCGUUGUUGCUAUAUGUGGCUGCUAAUGCCCGGGCUGUCAAUGUAGCUAUUGUGGUAGAACGGAAGGAGGCAGGCAAGGAAUAUCCGGUUCAGAGGCCGGUUUACUACAUCAGUGAGGUUCUCAUUGAGUCCAAGCAGAGGUAUCCGCACUGGCAGAAACUUGUAUAUGGGGUGUUCAUCGCUAGCCGGAAGCUUAAGCAGUAUUUUUGGGGUCAUCCAAUCACUGUGGUUAGUUCUGCUCCCUUAGGGAUAUUAUUCAAAAUAGAGAGGCCACAGGUCGGAUAGCCAAGUGGGCCAUCGAGCUUGGACCUCAUGGUUUGAAGUAUGUGCCUCGCACGGCCAUCAAGUCUCAAGCACUGGUGGAUUUCAUCAAUGACUGGACAGAGCUGCAGAUGCCUGAAGAAAAGCCAGAUAACACAUAUUGGACUAUUCACUUUGAUGGGUCCAGGCAAUUGGAAGGCUCGGGGGCUGGAGUUGUGCUUGCUUCCCCUCGAGGUGAUAAAUUUUGUUAUGUUCUCCGGUUGAUGUUCCCUUGUACUAACAAUGCAGCUGAGUAUGAGGCCUUGCUCCACGGUCUUCGGAUGGCUAAGGAGAUGAACUUAAGGCGGGUGAGGUGCUUUGGCGACUCAGACUUGGUAGCUCAGCAAGUUUCUGGUACUUGGGAUUCUAAGGAUCCACUCAUGGUGGCUUAUCGUUGAGAGGUUGAUGCUAUUGCGGGUCACUUCAAGGGUUAUCAGGUUGAGCAUAUUGAUCGAAGGAAGAACGAGGCGGCUGAUGCUUUAAGCCGGCUAGGCUCUCAGCGUAAACCGGUGCCACCCAAUACUUUCUUGGAUAUUCUAUAUAACCCCUCAAUCAAGUUGCCUACAGAGGAAGAUCUUGCUAUUCCUGACCUACAAGCACAAUUGGUGGCAGCUAUUCAUGCUAUUCCCGAUUGGACAGUCCCUUAUUUGGCUUAUAUGACCCAGGGCGAGUUACCUGAGGAUGAAACCUUAGCCAGGCAAAUAACCUGGCGGUCUAAGUCGAUGACAAUAGUCAAUGGAGAGCUGCAUCACUGCAGUGUUACAGGGGCCUUUCAACAUUGUGUUUCUCCAGAAGAAGGCCGUGAGAUUCUGCGUGAGAUUCAUGAAGGAGAUUGUGGCCAUCAUGCCGGCUCUAAGUCGCUUGUGGCUAAAGCUUUUCAUCAUGGAUUUAAUUGGCUGACGGCUCAUGCUGAUGCUGAAGACCUGGUCAGUAAGUGUGACGGAUGUCAGAAAUUUUCAAGACGAGCCCAUGUGCCGGCUCAAGAAUUGAGGAUGAUUCCAAUUACUUGGCCAUUUGCAGUCUGGGAGCUUGAUAUGGUUGGACCGUUCAAAAGGUCCAAGGACAAAAAGACACAUCUCCUGGUGGCGGUUGACAAAUUUACAAAGUGGGUUGAGGUAGAGCCGGUCAGUAAAUGUGACGCGGCGACGGCGGUUUAGUUCAUUAAAAAGGUGAUUUUCCGUUUUGGCUUUCCCCACAGUAUCAUAACUGAUAAUGGCACUAAUUUAUCCAAGGGUGCUAUGAAAGAAUUUUGUUAACAUGAGCAUAUCUGGCUUGACGAGUCGUCAGUGGCUCACCCCCAAUCUAAUGGUCAAGCCGAGAGAGCCAAUCAAGAGAUCCUGAGAGGCAUCAAGCCCCAGCUUAUGGUUCCCCUACAGAGGACGCUGGGUUGUUGGGUGGAGGAGUUACCUUCCGUGUUAUGGAGCAAUAAUACCAUCCCAAACAGAUCUACGGGUUACAUGCCUUUCUUCAUGGUUUACGGAGCAGAGGCAGUUCUCCCUAGUGACAUCCGUCACGACUCACCUCGUGUGGCGGCUUAUGUUGAAGCUGACAAUGAAAAAGCACGUCAGGAAGCACUUGACCUGUUAGAUGAGGAGCGUGACAUCGCGGCGGCUCGUUCGGCAAUCUACCAGCAAGAUCUGCGCCAUUAUCACAGCCGCCGGGUUAAAACCAGAACUUUUCAAGAAGGUGAUUUGGUGCUCCGACUCAUCCAGGAUCAAACUGACAUGCACAAGUUAUCCCCACCUUGGGAAGGGUAUUUUGUAGUCAGUAAGAAUCUCAACAAUGUAUCCUACUACCUUAUCGACGUUCGAGAGCACAAGGACUCACGUAAGUCGGAGGAAGAGACCCACCGGCCGUGGAAUAUUGCUCAUCUUCGGCCUUACUAUACUUGAGCCACUAGCUCUUCUGAUGUACAUAUUUUGACAAUGUAUAUAUUAUGAUCAAUAUAAUAAAUCCGGCAUCCCUGAUAAAGCAGGGCCUCUGCCAUUUUCUCUUUAAAUAACGAGUUUUUGAUCACUUGGGGGCUUCCAGCUUAUAGAGCGAAGCUAUGAUUACCCUUUGAUCCGGCUUAUAUGCCAUGAAAAAAAAUACUUGGGGGCUUGCUACCCAGGUUAAAGGGACCAAAGAGAGUUUGUUGCAAAGCACAACUCAAACAUAGGUGCCCACUGAGCACCGCUCAAAAAUAUUGCUUGGGGGCUCUUUGUUCAAAGAACAAGAGUUUUUAUGACCCUUGCAGUAGGCUUAAAAGCCAGGCUUGGAAGCCAGGUGUAUUCACCUGAAAACCCGGGUUAUCCUGCCUUAUUAAGUCAGUCACUCCGCCCAGGUAAUCCUGGAAUGACCCGCCGUACUUUUGACAAGUCAAUCUUAUACAAACCCUGAACUUGUCAAAGUUAAAAUGACGAUUGGUUAUGUGAGGUCCGGCUUAUAAGGUUUGUAUGAAGGUUUAACUCAGUGGCUAUGCAGCCCUGGAAAGCACUUGAUUUUUAGGCCUGGAAGCCUAUGAAAAGCCUUGUUUCGUUUUGUUUCUUAUUUGAAUGAUUUUUUUGGAGGUUUUUCCUUGGUGACACGUUAAAAUCCAAUGAGGUUCAUACCACUUUAUGGUUACGAUUCACCGAUGUUUAUUAACCCAGCUUCGCUUCCGACUAUAAGUCGUCAGUAUAUGAUAAGAUGAUAUCCGGUGUUUAUUAACCCGGUCCGACUUUGUUCAUAAGCCGGCAAUAUAUGACAAUUCCACAGAGCAUCAGAGUGCUCAAAUUUUUGGGUUAACACCCUUACUGCACUAGCUUGAUAAGCCGGCAGUAUGAUCAAAUAUCACAGGUAUGAUACAUUGAACCAGCCCUGGUUAUAAACUAUUUUAGUUUCCAGUGAUUAUAUAUUGGGUAUUAUGACCCGUCCUACGGUAAACCGUCAGGACACUUGUGAUCUGUUUAUUUACAAGAACAGAUUUAAAUUGCCAAUAUUACAAGCACAAAGUGACAAAUCUUAAAUUGGCGGAUCAACCGUAUCAUGUAAAGCAAAAUAUGCACGAUGGCAUAGCACAUCAAGAGUUUAAGCUAGCCUAUUACAAAAACGCCUGAUGCCCAGAAGAAUAAUUGUUUUAACAAGUCUUGCAGAAAGCAGAUGCUAAGCCAGCCUCCGGUUUAUGAAUCUUGGCUUGGUUGACUUGAAGGUUGGGGAUCAUCCAGCGCCGGUUCAUCUUCCUCCUCUCUACCCAGUGGCUAGAAGUCAAUGGUUGUCCAAUCAAUCCUAGUUAAGGCUUUGAAUACAGCUUCAUCACUUAUAAGUGUGGAGGGGUCAACAUCAGGGGCAUAAGUGUGCUUACGGAUUGGAGGAGCAAGAUUUGGAGCAUCAUAAGUUGGUACUUUAAUUCUCUUAUUGUUGGCAUCAUAAACUGACUGAUAAUAUGAAAGAUCGGUCUCUUCCGCCAAUUUACUAGGCAGUGGACGCAUUUCCUUCAUAAUGGUAGUGAGGUCAUCAGUGUUGAAGUCUGACCCAUCUUCCUUGAUGCUUGGGCAGCCAUUUGCCAAAUCGGCCGGAUCAAGAUCAGAUAUCCAUGCUUUGGCCCGAGUUAGUGCGGUAGAGCACCCACUCUUGCAGCAGAUUUCUUUAGUUCUUCAAACCGUGCAGGCAUCAUAGACAGCCUUUCCAAUGUCUCCUUGAUCAAGGUUGGGGGCGGUUUGUUAUGGGAUGCUGUGCAGAUGACCCGUAGUAUGCCGGUAUAUAACUGCUCUAUGAGUGUAUAGGCGGAUUUCAAUUUUUUCCGCAUAUCUGAGCCAAGAUGAGCAACGCGGGUUCCUGCAUCAUCAAAGACAUCUGUCAACCGGCAAUUUACUAGAUAAACACAUGUUUUAAAGCUUAUGAAGCAGCUAUUUACCAAAAACGGCAGCAGUCAUAGCAUUUAUCUGCUGUUUUAAGCCAGUAAGCUCUGCCGAUACCGGUUUAAGGGCCGUUUCAGCAUCCUCAACCCUCUUCAGCAGAGUUGACCUUUCUGUAUCCCAACCUGCCCGAUCAUUCUUGAAGCUUUCUUUCAGCUUUUCCAUUGCUGCCAAGGCACUGGUCAGUUCAUCCUUGGCCUUGGAGGUCUCUGAUUGUUGAGAUUUGAUGUUUUCUUGAAGGUCGGCAAUUUGAAAUUCCUUCUUGGUAAGCUCAGCCUGCGAAAGACAAGCAAUUUAUGAGAUGAUAAUGCUUAUUUGAAGUCCCAAGCAGAUAACAAGUGAUAUACUUGGCACUUGGGGGCUAAUGUUUAUUGCUUAUUAUAAACCUUUUUACAAGUCCCAAGCCCAAUACAAGUAUUAUUCUUGACACUUGGGGGCUAAUGCAUGUUUGCUCAAGACUACGGAUUGUUAUUUUUUCCAACCAUCAAUUAGGUGCUAAACCGGUUUAAGAAGGUUCUAAGAAUGAAUUUUGGGUCUUACAACAUCAUUAGUCUCAACUUAACAUAUUUGUUAAGUCGACCCUUGGGGGAUACACAGGAAAAUUUGAAGUCUUAUUAUUCUAAAGUCCCGGUUCAUAUUGAAAAUAUAAAACGGCCCUUGGGGGCUACUGGAGUUGAUCUAUAUGGUUAUUGGAAGUUUACAACACAUUCUAUUCUCUUAUGUCCAAUAAACUUGGCGGCUAAGGGAAGUAUAUCCAUACAAAGUCAACAGCAUUUACCUCAUACCGCUCCUUCAUCAGAUUUACUAAACUGGCUUCAUAGUCACGGCUGGUAUACAGACGGUUUAAAAACCCAGAAUGAAUAUCUUGGGCGCUGAGGUGGGCAUAGCUUUCCAAGUCUACCUUCCACUUGCCUUUAUCAAUAGCAGAAAUUUCUUCUUUGGCACUAUGUUUUGACAGAACAGUGGGGUUACCUGGGGCUGUAUAACUAACACCAGUAACCAUAACGUAGUUAGUCUUGUCAUCAACAGCUUUAGUUGGGCUUGGCGGUUUAUCAGCAUUGCUCAUCGGGUCAACUCCCAUAGGCUCAACAAAGACUGCAUGAUCUUGCGGUGGUGGAUCGUCAGGAGUGACUUCAGCAUUUGGAUUAGAAUGUUCCGGGGUCCUUUCCGGAUCAGAAGGAUUGGGGUCAUCAACCAGUUUAUUCAGUUUGGCCUUCUUGCUGGGUCUGGCCUGGGCCCUGAAAAUGAGAUGCAAAUAACAGGUUAGUAUAAUGAGCAAACACAAGACAUAAGGAGUCAAAACAACAUGUUUACCCAGGAAUAGUUUUGAGGGUUGGAAUUUGUGUUCAUGUUGACUCGCCAGAGGAGGAAUGAGAAGUCCCCUGAUAGUUCGAAUCAGACGGGUUAAGAGGUUGUAAAAAAUAACCCGCCUUGGGGUAAAGUAUGUCAGAAAUAUGUAAGACCUCUGGACGGCAUUUGCGAAGUGGAGUGUUUGGUAAACCAGAAGAGGUGAUCACGUUGCCGCUAUGCUGGGUUGUGCGGCGAGCUUCAUGUUGCUGUUUCUUCAAAAGAAAGUUUGGAUCCAAGUGAGCUAGAGGGUGAGAAAAUCUUACUUUUCGGCUUGCUUGACGGGUUUUCUGUGUUGGCAGAGGUUCUGAGCCGGACGAAAGAAUAAUUACCUCUGCAUCACCAGCAUGGCUAGCCUCUGCGUCAUCCUGAUAAUAGUCAUUGUCAAUGAGAUGUAUGAAAAAGGAGCCAAGUGAAUCAAGUUCUACCUCUGAUUCAUGAUUAUCAUCGCCAUCGUCAAUGUUUAACUCGGUUGACUCGGCGGUUUUCUUUUUUGUGGGCUUCUUGUUGGCCUUGGUUUUGACACGAGGUGCUUUGGCCGGUUUAUCCUGCGGUUUCCUCUUCCAGAAUGGGCCACCAGCCUGCUAAGGUUAAAAAAGAUCAUAAGGGAAUAUUAAGAAUAUGAAUUAAGUAGGAGUUGGGGAAUUCUUACAGCUGGCGGUUUGUUUGAAGCGCAAAAAGGACUAAGCCCUGUUUUGCUACACUCGGCCACCGGUUCAUUCAACUUUUCCUUGACGGCUUCAGUAAUUUCUGCGUCGGAUAGCUGAAUAUUAGGGUGGCGUUGGGGGUCUUUCACGUCCCCUGUGUAUUCACACAUUAAACCGGGGCGACGGCUUAAAGGCAAAAUACUCCAAGACACCCAGCAACGGACAGAAUCAACGCCCGUUAAACCAUUUGCCACAAAGGCUCUGAGUUUUGAAAGUUGUGGUGCAUAUUUGGCAUGUUCCUUUGCACUGAGUCUUUGGGGGAGUGGAUGUGUGCUGGUAAGCCGGUGGGCACGGUAACCUAGCAGAGGAUUCUCGUCAGCUGGAGAUGUAUCUCGGUAGUAGAACCAAGUCUGAUUGCAAUCUUUGGGGUGGCUAUGAUGAUUAGCAUGAGGGAAGCUGACAUCUUUCCUCUUUUGAAUUGAAACCCCGGCAAGUUCAGUAUUGGGCCCGUCCACAAAUUCCGUACGGCGGUUUAAAUAGUAGAAAUCUCUGAACAGAUCAACUUUGGGCUCCUCUUGAAGGUAAGCUUCAUAGAAUACUUGAAAAUUGCAAAUGUUGGACACGGAGUUAGGUCCAAUGUCUUGAGGGUGAAGCUGGAGGAAAUGAAGAACAUCACGAUUUUUUUUUGAUCCGGGAGGGCUGAACCCUCGACUCAGAUGGUCAACAAAAACGAUCACCUCCCCAUCCUUGGGUUCAGGAGGAUUUUCUAAACCGGGGGCCCUCCAAUGGAUGUCUUCCUUUUUUGCUAAAGCGCCAGUAGCGACACACCCAUUCAGAUCUUCCUCUGUAAUCCGGGAUUGAACCCAGUUACAGGAAUAAAAGGACUUGGCCAUUUGUUCGAUGACCUGAAAGAAAAUUUGUGCCGGUUUAAGGUUCAUGGUUAAUCUACUGGAGGUUAAGAGGCAGACAAUGAUAAAGCAUGCAUAAGUGUUAAACCUGAGAUUAGCAUUAUCAAAUUACAGAAAUGAGCUAUUGGCGGUUUAAGAGGAGACUAAUGGUACCUGGCGAGAUGUUAUUUUCUGAGUUAAACUGCUUAUACAGAUAUUGAAAGUAUAGAUCUGAAGAUGGAAAAUUGCUAAGUGAUGAAAAACAGGUUUCACAGAUUGAUGUUACAAUUUUGGAUCUACCGCGUGUCAGGAAAUGAAAAUAUAUUCAGACCUAAAUAUGGGUGCUUGAGCAGUUCAUAAGGUCCAGAUUGGAUUUUUCUAUUCAAAAAGAGACGCUCUGAUGAUGAAAAAGUAACUAUGGCUAUUGCCGCACAGGAAAAGUAUCAAGUUUGAAUUGAGUAUCCGUGCUAUAGCGAAGAACAUCGAAGACAAGCUUCCAUGAACUCAUGUAAACCCUAAUGAGAUCUACGUAGGGGCAGGAGAAAGAACUUACCGAGGCUGUUGGGCGGCGGAGGCGCGCGAGUAGAAUCUGGACCAGUCAGGUUGAUGCAGCGGCCGAUGUUGAAGCAGAGGUGGAGAUCGACGGCGGCGGCUGGGCUCGGGCACAUGAUGUCGCAAGGUGGAGGAUAAAGAUGAUGAGGCCGAGGGGGGAAAGUGAAAGAGACCCCCGGCCCUAUUUAUAAGGUGAAUGGAUAAAUGGCAAGCACGUGAAUCGAGGAGGCCAAAAACAGAUAUAUGACAGUGCAAACGCCUCGAUUUACGGAGAUUCAUCUAAAAUGAGGACAUACAUUAAAGAUUUUGGUUUUGUGUAAAAUUAAUGAUAGGUGACGUCACGGCGGGUUACCCUAAUCCCAGAGGAUGACGCCAUGGCGAGUUACAAGUUCUCGCGAAGGUAAUGAAGGAGGGAUUUUUCUAAGUAUUGAAGAUUGAUGUGAACAAGUUCAAAUCAACCUGGGGCCUAAUGUUGGGGAUAUAGCUAUUGAGAUAACCCGCCCAGGGGGGCCGGGUUAUACCCAUGGUGACUCAUAAGACAAAGCCCACGAAGGAAUCGAAGAUGGCGGUUCAUGAGGAUAACUUAUGAAGGGCCCAAGUGUUGGGGAACGUAGUAAUUUCAAAAAAAUUCCUACGCACACGCAAGAUCAUGGUGAUGCAUAGCAACGAGAGGGGAGAGUGUUGUCCACGUACCCUCGUAGACCGAAAGCGGAAGCGUUAACACAAUGCGGUUGAUGUAGUCGUACGUCUUCACGAUCCGACCGAUCAAGUACCGAACGCACGACACCUCCGAGUUCAGCACACGUUCAGCUUGAUGACGUCCCUCGAACUCCGAUCCAGCCGAGUGUUGAGGGAGAGUUUCGUCAGCAUGACGGUGUGGUGACGAUGAUGAUGUUCUACCAACGCAGGGCUUCGCCUAAGCUUCGCAACGAUAUUAUCGAGGUGUAAUAUGGUGGAGGGGGGCACCACACACGGCUAAAUAUCGUAUAUCAAUUGUGUGUCUAGAGGUGCCCCCCUGCCCCCGUAUAUAAAGGAGCAAGGGGGGAGGCCGGCCGGCCCUUGGGGCGCGCCAAGGAGGGGGGAGUCCUUCUCCUAGUAGGAGUAGGACUCCCCUUUCCUAGUCCAACUAGGAAGAGAGAAGGGGGAAGGAAAGAGAGGGAGAGGGAGAGGGAAAGAGGGGCCGCGCUCCCCUCUCCUAGUCCAAUUCGGACUCCCCAUGGGAGGGGGCACGCCACCUCCUGGGCUGCUGCCUUCUCUCUCCCCUUAGGCCCACUAAGGCCCAAUACUUCCCCGGGGGGUUCCGGUUACCCCUCCGGCACUCCGACUUUAUCCGAAACUUCUCCGGAACACUUCCGGUGUCCGAAUAUAGUCGUCCAAUAUAUCAAUCUUUAUGUGUCGACCAUUUCGAGACUCCUCGUCAUGUCCGUGAUCAUAUCCGGAACUCCGAACAACCUUCAGUACAUAAAAACAUAUAAACUCAUAAUAAAACUAUCAUCGUAACUUUAAGCGUGCGGACCCUACGGGUUCGAGAACUAUGUAGACAUGACCGAGACACCUCUCCGGUCAAUAACCAAUAGCGGAACCUGGAUGCUCAUAUUGGUUCCCACAUAUUCUACGAAGAUCUUUAUCGGUCAGACCGCAUAACAACAUACGUUGUUCCCUUUGUCAUCGGUAUGUUACUUGCCCGAGAUUCGAUCGUUGGUAUCUCGAUACCUAGUUCAAUCUCGUUACCGGCAAGUCUGUUUACUUGUUCCGUAAUACAUCAUCCCGCAACUAACUCAUUAGUCACAAUGCUUGCAAGGGUGCAUUACCGAGUGGGCCCAGAGAUACCUCUCCGACAAUCGGAGUGACAAAUCCUAAUCUCGAAAUAUGCCAACCCAACAAGUACCUUUGGAGACACCUGUAGAGUACCUUUAUAAUCACCCAGUUACGUUGUGACGUUUGGUAGCACACAAAGUGUUCCUCCGGUAAACGGGAGUUGCAUAAUCUCAUAGUCAUAGGAACAUGUAUAAGCCAUGAAGAAAGCAAUAGCAACAUACUGAACGAUCGAGUGCUAAGCUAACGGAAUGGGUCAAGUCAAUCACAUCAUUCUCCUAAUGAGGUGAUCCCGUUAAUCAAAUGACAACUCAUGUCUAUGGCUAGGAAACAUAACCAUCUUUGAUCAACGAGCUAGUCAAGUAGAGGCAUACUAGUGACACUCUGUUUGUCUAUGUAUUCACACAUGUAUCAAGUUUCCGGUUAAUACAAUUCUAGCAUGAGUAAUAAACAUUUAUCAUGAUAUAAGGAAAUAAAUAAUAACUUUAUUAUUGCCUCUAGGGCAUAUUUCCUUCAGUCUCCCACUUGCACUAGAGUCAAUAAUCUAGUUCACAUCGCCAUGUGAUUUAACAUCAAUAAUUCACAUCACCAUGUGAUUAACACCCAUAGUUCACAUCGUCAUGUGACCAACACCCAAAAGGUUUACUAGAGUCUGUAAUCUAGUUCACAUCGCUAUGUGAUUAACACCCAAAGAGUACUAAGGUGUGAUCAUGUUUUCCUUGUGAGAUAAUUUUAGUCAACGGGUCUGUCACAUUCAGAUCCGUAAGUAUUUUGCAAAUUUUUAUGUCUACAAUGCUCUGCACGGAGCUACUCUAGCUAAUUGCUCCCACUUUCAAUAUGUAUCUAGACCGAGACUUAGAGUCAUCUUGAUUAGUGUCAAAACUUGCAUCGACGUAACCCUUUACGACGAACCUUUUGUCACUUCCAUAAUCGAGAAACAUAUCCUUAUUUCACUAAGGAUAAUUUUGUCCGCUGUCCAGUGAUCUACUCCUAGAUCAUUAUUGUACUCCCUUGCCAAAAUCAGUGUAGGGUAUACAAUAGAUCUGGUACACAGCAUGGCAUACUUUAUAGAACCUAUGGCCGAGGCAUAGGGAAUGACUUUCAUUCUUUUUCUAUCUUCUGCCGUGGUCGGGCUUUGAGUCUUACUCAAUUUCACACCAUGUAACACAGACAAGAAACUCUUUCUUUGACUGUUCCAUUUUGAACCACUUCAAAAUCUUGUUAAGGUAUGUACUCAUUGAAAAAACUUAUCAAGCGUCUUGAUCUUUCUCUAUAGAUCUUGAUGCUCAAUAUGUAAGCAGCUUUACCGAGGUCUUUCUUUGAAAAACUCCUUUCAAACACUCCUUUAUGCUUUGCAGAAUAAUUCUACAUUAUUUCCGAUCAACAAUAUGUCAUUCACAUAUACUUAUCAGAAAUGCUGUAGUGCUCCCACUCACUUUCUUGUAAAUAUAGGCUUCACCGCAAGUCUGUAUAAAACUAUAUCCUUUGAUCAACUUAUCAAAGCGCAUAUUCCAACUCCGAGAUGCUUGCACCAGUCCAUAGAUGGACCGCUGGAGCUUGCAUAUUUUGUUAGCACCUUUAGGAUUGACAAAACCUUCUGGUUGCAUCAUAUACAACUCUUCUUUAAUAAAUCCAUUAAGGAAUGCAGUUUUGUUUAUCCAUUUGCCAGAUUUCAUAAAAUGCGGCAAUUGCUAACAUGAUUCGGACAGACUUAAGCAUAGAUACGAGUGAGAAACUCUCAUCGUAGUCAACACCUUAAACUUGUCGAAAACCUUUUGCGACAAUUCUAGCUUUGUAGAUAGUAACACUACUAUCAACGCCCGUCUUCCUCUUGAAGAUCCAUUUAAUCUCAAUGGCUCGCCGAUCAUUGGGCAAGUCAAUCAAAGUCCAUACUUUGUUCUCAUACAUGGAUCCCAUCUCGGAUUUCAUGGCCUCAAGCCAUUUUGCGGAAUCUGGGCUCACCAUCGCUUCUUCAUAGUUCGUAGGUUCGUCAUGGUCUAGCAACAUAACCUCCAGAACAGGAUUACCGCACCACUCUGGUGCGGAUCUUAAUCUGGUUGACCUACGAGGUUCAGUAGUAACUUGAUCUGAAGUUUCAUGAUCAUUAUCAUUAACUUCCCCACUAAUUGGUGUAGGUGUCGUAGAAACUGGUUUCUGUGAUGAUCUACUUUCCAAUAAGGGAGCAGGUACAGUUACCUCAUCAAGUUCUACUUUCCUCCCACUCACUUCUUUCGAGAUAAACUCCUCCUCUAGAAAGGAUCCAUACUUAGCAACGAAUGUCUUGCCUUCGGAUCUGUGAUAGAAGGUGUACCCAACUGUCUCCUUUGGGUAUCCUAUGAAGACACAUUUCUCCGAUUUGGGUUUGAGCUUAUCAGGAUGAAACUUUUUCGCAUAAGCAUCGCAACCCCAAACUUUAAGAAACGACAACUUUGGUUUCUUGCCAAACCACAGUUCAUAAGAUGUCGUCUCAACGGAUUUAGAUGGUACCCUAUUUAACGUGAAUGCAGCUGUCUCUAAUGCAUAACCCCAAAACGAUAGUGGUAGAUCGGUAAGAGACAUCAUAUAUCGCACCAUAUCUAAUAAAGUACGGUUACGAUGUUCGGACAUACCAUUACACCGUGGUAUUCCAGGUGGCGUGAGUAGUGAAAACUAUUUCACAUUGUUUUAACUGAAGGCCAAACUCGUAACUCAAAUACUCUUCUCCACGAUCAGAUCGUAGAAACUUUAUUUUCUUGUUACGAUGAUUUUCCGCUUCACUCUGAAAUUAUAUGAACUUUUCAAAUGUUUCAGACUUCUGUUUCAUUAAGUAGAUAUACCCAUAUCUGCUCAAAUCAUCUAUGAAGGUCAGAAAAUAAUGAUACCAGCUACGAGCCUCAAUAUUCAUCGGACCACAUACAUCUGUAUGUAUGAUUUCCAACAAAUCUGUUGCUCUCUCCAUAGUUCCGGAGAACGGCGUUUUAGUCAUCUUGCCCAUGAGGCACGGUUCGCAAGCAUCAAGUGAUUCGUAAUCAAGUGAUUCCAAAAUCCCAUCAGUAUGGAGUUUCUUCAUGCGCUUUACACCAAUAUGACCUAAAUGGCAGUGCCACAAAUAAGUUGCACUAUCAUUAUUAACUUUGCAUCUUUUGGCUUCAUUAUUAUGAAUAUGUGUAUCACUACGAUCGAGAUCCAACAAACCAUUUUAUUGGGUGUAUGACCAUAGAAGGUUUUAUUCAUGUAAAUAGAACAACAAUUAUUCUCUAAUUUAAAUGAAUAACCGUAUUGCAACAAACAUGAUCAAAUCAUAUUCAUGCUCAACGCAAACACCAAAUAACACUUAUUUAGGUUCAACACUAAUCCCGAAAGUGUAGGGAGCAUGCGAUGAUGAUCAUAUCAAUCUUGGAACCACUUCCAACACACAUCGUCACUUUACCCUUAACUAGUUUCUGUUCAUUCUGCAACUCCCGUUUCGAGAUACUACUCUUAGCAACUGAACCAGUAUCAAAUGCCGAGGGGUUGCUACGAACACUAGUAAAAUACACAUCAAUAAUCUGUAUAUCAAAUAUACCUUUGUUCACUUUUGCCAUCCUUCUUAUCCGCCAAAUACUUGGGGCAGUUCCGCUUCUAGUGACCAGUCCCUUUGCAGUAGAAGCGCUUAGUCUCAGGCUUAGGACCAGAUUUAGGCUUCUUCACUUGAGCAGCAACUUGCUUGCCGUUCUUCUUGAAGUUCCCCUUCUUCCCUUUGCCCUUUUCUUGAAACUAGUGGUCUCGUCAACCAUCAACACUUGAUGUUUUUCUUGAUUUCUACCUUUGUCGAUUUCAGCAUCACAAAGAGCUCGGGAAUUACUUUCGUCAUCCCUUGCAUACUUUCAUCAUGAAGUUCUACUAACUUGGUGAUGGUGACUAGAGAAUUCUGUCAAUCAGUAUUUUAUCUGGAAGAUUAACUCCCACUUGAUUCAAGCGAUUGUAGUACCCAGACAAUCUGAGCACAUGCUCACUGCUUGAGCUAUUCUCCUCCAUCUUUUAGCUAUAGAACUUGUUGGAGACUUCAUAUCUCUCAACUCGGGUAUUUGCUUGAAAUAUUAACUUCAACUCCUGGAACAUCUCAUAUGGUCCAUGACGUUCAAAACGUCUUUGGAGUCCCGAUUCUAAGCCGUUAAGCAUGGUGCACUAAACUAUCAAGUAGUCAUCAUAUUGAGCUUGCCAAACGUUCAUAACGUCUGCAUCUGCUCCUGCAAUAGGUCUGUCACCUAGUGGUGCAUCAAGGACAUAAUUCUUCUGUGCAGCAAUGAGGAUAAUCCUCAGAUCACGGAUCCAAUCCACAUCUUUGCUACUAACAUCUUUCAACAUAAUUUUCUCUAGGAACAUAUCAAAAAUAAAUACAGGGAAGCAACAACGCGAGCUGUUGAUCUACAACAUAAUUUGCAAAAAUACUAUCAGGACUAAGUUCAUGAUAAAUUUAAGUUCAGUUAAUCAUAUUACUUAAGAACUCCCACUUAGAUAGACAUCCCUCUAAUCCUCUAAGUGAUCACGUGAUCCAUAUCAACUAAACCAUGUCCGAUCAUCACGUGAGAUGGAGUAGUUUCAAUGGUGAACAUCACUAUGUUGAUCAUAUCUACUAUAUGAUUCACGCUCGACCUUUCGGUCUCCGUGUUCCGAGGCCAUAUCUGCAUAUGCUAGGCUCGUCAAGUUUAACCUGAGUAUUCCGCGUGUGCAACUGUUUUGCACCCGUUGUAUUUGAACGUAGAGCCUAUCACACCCGAUCAUCACGUGGUGUCUCAGCACGAAGAACUUUCGCAACGGUGCAUACUCAGGGAGAACACUUUUAUCUUGAAAGUUUAGUGAGAGAUCAUCUUAUAAUGCUACCGUCAAUGAAAGCAAGAUAAGAUGCAUAAAAGAUUAACAUCACAUGCAAUCAAUAUAAGUGAUAUGAUAUGGCCAUCAUCAUCUUGUGCUUGUGAUCUCCAUCUCCGAAGCACCGUCAUGAUCACCAUCGUCACUGGCGCGACACCUUGAUCUCCAUCGUAGUAUCGUUGUCGUCUCGCCAACUUAUUGCUUUUACGACUAUCGCUACCGCUUAGUGAUAAAGUAAAACAAUUACAUGGCGAUUGCAUUGCAUACAAUGAAGCGACAACCAUAUGGCUCCUGCCAGUUGCCGAUAACUCGGUUACAAAACAUGAUCAUCUCAUACAAUAAAAUAUAGCAUCAUGUCUUGACCAUAUCACAUCACAACAUGCCCUGCAAAAACAAGUUAGACGUCCUCUACUUUGUUGUUGCAAGUUUUACGUGGCUGCUACAGGCUUUAGCAAGAACCGUUCUUACCUACGCAUCAAAACCACAACUAUAGUUUGUCAAGUUGGUGCUGUUUUAACCUUCGCAAGGACCGGGCGUAGCCACACUCGGUUCAACUAAAGUGAGAGAGACAGACACCCGCCAGUCACCUUUAAGCAACGAGUGCUCGUAACGGUGAGACCAGUCUCGCGUAAGCGUACGCGUAAUGUCGGUCCGGGCCGCUUCAUCUCACAAUACCGCUGAACCAAAGUAUGACAUGCUGGUAAGCAGUAUGACUUAUAUCGCCCACAACUCACUUGUGUUCUACUCGUGCAUAGCAUCAACGCAUAAAACCAGGCUCGGAUGCCACUGUUGGGGAACGUAGUAAUUUCAAAAAAUUUCCUACGCACACGCAAGAUCAUGGUGAUGCAUAGCAACGAGAGGGGAGAGUGUUGUCCACGUACCCUCGUAGACCAAAAGCGGAAGCGUUAACACAAUGCGGUUGAUGUAGUCGUACGUCUUCACGAUCUGACCGAUCAAGUACCGAACGCAUGGCACCUCCGAGUUCAGCACACGUUCAGCUCGAUGACGUACCUCGAACUCUGAUCCAGCCGAGUGUUGAGGGAGAGUUUCGUCAGCACGACGGCGUGGUGACGAUGAUGAUGUUCUACCAAUGCAGGGCUUCGCCUAAGCUCCGCAACGAUAUUAUCGAGGUGUAAUAUGGUGGAGGGGGCACCGCACACGGCUAAAAUAUCGUAUAUCAAUUGUGUGUCUAGAGGUGCCCCCCUGCCCCCGUAUAUAAAGGAGCAAGGGGGGAGGCCGGCCGGCCCUUGGGGCGCGCCAAGGAGGGGGGGAGUCCUUCUCCUAGUAGGAGUAGGACUCCCCUUUCCUAGUCCAACUAGGAAGAGAGAAGGGGGAAGGAAAGAGAGGGAGAGGGAGAGGGAAAGAGGGGCCGCGCUCCCCUCUCCUAGUCCAAUUCAGACUCCCCAUGGGAGGGGGCGCGCCACCUCCUGGGCUGCUGCCCUCUCUCUCCCCUCAGGCCCACUAAGGCCCAAUACUUCCCCGGGGGGGUUCCGGUAACCCCUCCGGCACUCCGGUUUUAUCCGAAACUUCUCCGGAACACUUCCGGUGUCUGAAUAUAGUCAUCCAAUAUAUCAAUCUUUAUGUCUCGACCAUUUCGAGACUCCUCAUCAUGUCUGUGGUCAUAUCCGGAACUCCGAACAACCUUUGGUACAUCAAAACAUAUAAACUCAUAAUAAAACUGUCAUCGUAACUUUAAGCGUGCGGACCCUACGGGUUCGAGAACUAUGUAGACAUGACCGAGACACCUCUCCGGUCAAUAACCAAUACCGGAACCUGGAUGCUCAUAUUGGUUCCCACAUAUUCUACGAAGAUCUUUAUCGGUCAGACCGCAUAACAACAUAGGUUGUUCCCUUUGUCAUCGGUAUGUUACUUGCCCGAGAUUCGAUCGUCGGUAUCUCGAUACCUAGUUCAAUCUCGUUACCGGCAAGUCUCUUUACUCAUUCCGUAAUAUAUCAUCCCGCAACUAACUCAUUAGUCACAAUGCUUGCAAGGCUUAUAGUGAUGUGCAUUACCGAGUGGGCCCAGAGAUACCUCUCCGACAAUCGGAGUGACAAAUCCUAAUCUCGAAAUACGCCAACCCAAGAAGUACCUUUGGAGACACCUGUAGAGUACCUUUAUAAUCACCCAGUUAUGUUGUGACGUUUCGUAGCACACAAAGUGUUCCUCCGGUAAACGGGAGUUGCAUAAUCUCAUAGUCAUAGGAACAUGUAUAAGUCAUGAAGAAAGCAAUAGCAACAUACUAAACGAUCGAGUGCUAAGCUAACGGAAUGGGUCAAGUCAAUCACGUCAUUCUCCUAAUGAGGUGAUCCCGUUAAUCAAAUGACAACUCAUGUCUAUGGCUAGGAAACAUAACCAUCUUUGAUCAACGAGCUAGUCAAGUAGAGGCAUACUAGUGACACUCUUUUUGUCUAUGUAUUCACACAUGUAUCAAGUUUCCGGUUAAUACAAUUCUAGCAUGAAUAAUAAACAUUUAUCAUGAUAUAAGGAAAUAAAUAAUAACUUUAUUAUUGCCUCUAGGGCAUAUUUCCUUCACCAAGGCCCAUAGGCGGCUUAAGGCCCGUGUGUGUAAACCGCCAUAUGUGUAUGACUUGUAUUAUAAGGCAAUUGUAAUUAAGUCACCAGGCCGGACACGUUUAUGAGCCGACCGGGACUCUGUAAGGCGCCGGACGUCAACCUGAGUAUAUAAAGGGACGACCCGGCGGCGAGUUAGGGCAAGAAAGAAGAGAUCAAAAGCUAGGUCAAGCGUAUUCGCUCCCUUGUAAUCAAGACAUAAGUAAUACCACCUCAACUGGAUUAGGCCUUUACCUUCACCGCAAGGGGCCGAACCAAUAUAAACUCUUUGUGUCCUUUGUCCCAUUUUAACCCCUUUAGGCUAUUCUCGUUGUGAUGGCUCCACGACUAAGUCCUUGCACUAGGACAUCAGCCGUGACAAUCCCACGACAACCCAGGUUUGAAAUAUAAGACAAUAGGUUCCUACCGCAUCAACUACUUCCCAAUACCCAUAUGUUAACAAGUCUUAACCAUGAAGUGUUUGAGGAUUGAAACUAAUGCAUAAAAACUGGGUAAUAAAGGGAUAUGAUCAAAGUGUUACUUGCCUUGCUGACGAUCUGAAAGCCCUAGUGAUUCGUAAUAGCAAGCCUCGCACUCCAGAAACUCUAUCGUGAACAGACAAUAGCAUACAUAAGCACUCAGGCAUAAGAUGCAAGGAUAAAACUCAAGAGAAAAGAUCUAAACAGAAAGUACAAGUGAAGAGCUUCGAUUUGAAAAAAGAGUCAAUCGAAUCGGAGCUACGAAACUCAAACUGCGAUCAAAAGAAGUUCGAAAACAAAACUACUUGAAACCAAAUUUUAAAUUUUCAAAACCAUGUUCAAGUUGAUUAUCUAGACAGAGGGGAUCGAGACGAAGAUUUUGGCGUUGGUUUCACUGGAUUUGGACAAACGAGCAAAAAGUAACGAGGGUUUAAAGUUCAGGGACUAAUCUGUGAUAAAAGUAUUCGCGGUUAGGUCCCUGGACGAAAAAUAAAUAAAGAAGGAAAAAUCUAACGAACGAACGUUCGCUAACAGAACUAAACGAAUGAAUUCGUCCAUUAAAACAACCUAAUGGGUAAACGUUCGCUACUUAGCGAACCCUAAAAUAAAAACCAAUCUAAACGAAAACCAAAAAAACAAAAAAAGAACCGGCGAAUCGGGACGGUUUUAUACCGGCUAAAUGGCGGCGACGGUCAACGGCGAGCGGCGCGGCGGCUCCGACGAACGGCGAGGUGGGGCGGCGNNNNNNNNNNNNNNNNNNNNNNNNNNNNNNNNNNNNNNNNNNNNNNNNNNNNNNNNNNNNNNNNNNNNNNNNNNNNNNNNNNNNNNNNNNNNNNNNNNNNNNNNNNNNNNNNNNNNNNNNNNNNNNNNNNNNNNNNNNNNNNNNNNNNNNNNNNNNNNNNNNNNNNNNNNNNNNNNNNNNNNNNNNNNNNNNNNNNNNNNNNNNNNNNNNNNNNNNNNNNNNNNNNNNNNNNNNNNNNNNNNNNNNNNNNNNNNNNNNNNNNNNNNNNNNNNNNNNNNNNNNNNNNNNNNNNNNNNNNNNNNNCUGCGGCGCGGCGGCGGUGACUUGGGUGGCGGCGGCGCGGCUUGAGGAGAGGGGGGCGCAUAUAAAGGGGCCGGGGGGCGGCUUGGGGGAGGGGGCAAGGCGGCGGCGGCGAUGCAGAGUCGGAGCCGGACUCCGGCUCGGGCACGACGGCGCUCGCGGGAAGGCGGUGGCGGCGGCUGGGUCGGCUGGGCCUUCGGCCCGGUCGGUGUGAAAAGAUUUUUUUUUAAAUAAUUUCGCCAGAACAAAAAUCCUAAUAAAAUAAAAAAAAUUCUAAAAAUACCAGAAACAAUUUUCACCGUCCAAACCUAAUAUUUAGGACAAGAUGAACAUUUUUCUAGCCUAAAAUGCAAUUUUCAAAAAUGCAUAUUUUUCUCUAAUUCAAAUAAAAUACAAAUAAAAUAAAUAAUUUGAUUUUAAACUUUCUUCUCCAAUAUUUCUCUUCUGUUGAAGAAGUCAUUUUAUCUUCUCUCAUUUAUUUUUAUUAUUGGAAUAAUUGGACAGAAAAAAAAU